AGCAUUUAUGGGGUACCGAGCUGCCUCCUCGUGCUAGAUGAUUGGCGCCAUAAGAACUACAUUAUGCCACCCAUGGUUAACUAUUUGGGGUUGUUUCGAGAACCUUUACUUGUUCCAUAUUACUUGGAUGGGUAUAAGGUUAUCGAGAGAGUGAGGAUUGUCUUCACCUAAUUUGAAUACUAUGAGGAGGUAUGGUGCGAUAUCUUUUCCUUGACACUAGGUCAUGUAUGCUUGGGUGCCGAUUGGUUUGCACAACAUAGAGUUCCAAAUAUUCUAAAUUGGCCUAAGGUUGUAGUGGACCGUUGGGAAAAUUAUCUCUUUACCUCAAUUCUUCCCAAACUACAAGAAGAUGUGAUCACUUACUCCGGCCCGAAUAAUUAUGAGAGACAAAAGAUUGAUAGGAGUAAGGGUGUGUAUGGUGGUAAUCCAAGAGUGGAAAAAGGAGAGGUUGUGUGGAGUGAAGUGAGGGGGUUGUCACCAAACUGUGCUAACUAUAUUUGUCCUUCUAUUUCUAAGGACAUUUGUGUAGGUACUAAUAUGGCAAGUGGAGGAGCACAAGGCCAAGGACAAGUUGCUGCCGAAGCAUGUGGGAAACCUUUACACCAUGGCAAAGAAGAAUUUACUCAAGAACUUCAAGGUAAAAUAGCUAACUCUUAAACUUUUGUGCAUGUGAAUGAUAAUUGUGUGGCUAGUAGCCCAUUAAGUGUGAGUAGUAGCUUACCUAUUUGUGAUUCUAUUGAUUCUUUGCCUCUUGUUGAUGAUGUACUUAUUAUGAGUAUGGAUACACUAAUUGAUCCUAUUGAUGACCGAAUUGACUCUUCUUGUAAGAUCAAUUUAAGUCCACCUAAUGUUGAAGCCAUUGUGUUGAAUGAUAAUACAUCAUCUAUUGAUUCUUUGCCCCUUGAUGAUGAUGUACAUGUUGUGAAUGUGGAUACACUAGUUGAUCCUAUUGAUGACCGAAUUGACUCUUCUUAUAAGAUCAAUUUAUGUCCACCUAGUGUUGAAGCCAAUGUGUUGAAUGAUAGUACAUCAUCUUGUGAAAAUUGUGUUGAUCAACUUAUGUGCAAAAUUUGUCCACCACUUGAGGAUGUGUGUGAUGUGUUUAAUGGAUCUCAAGUGAGUGAUGAUAUUGAAAAUGUUGAUCAAAUAAAUAAUAGUGUUCCCUUUAGCAUGACCUCUAGUGAAUGUUCUACUAGCGAUUUUGCUCAUAAGGAUCGUGUGUUGAAACUUCUUUGGAACUUGAUAAUUUUCCUUUAGAGAGUGAACUUGCAUGUUCUGAAUCAUGCCCAAGGGUAGAUCCUCCUCUCUUUAGGUAUAAAAUCUUGUUUAAAGAUGGUCUUAUCACUCCUAAUGAACCUAGUGGUGGGAAUGAUAUUGAAGGUAUAGCUUGUCUUGAAGGUUAUAGCCUGUAUACUAACCCACUAUGGUGUGACAACAUACCUCCUAAAGAUGAAAAUCUCUUCUUGAAAGAUGAAAGUACUCUUAAGGGUAAGGAAUGUGUAGUCUUAGAAAGGAAUGAUCAAUUGGCUAAUGAUAGCUUUGAUCUGCUUGAAUAUUUGAGAAACCCAACAGGUGAUUAUUCCUUGAAAAUUGAUUGUGGUUGUGAUCCUUUGUAUGAUUCCCCACCCAUGUUUGAUGACUAUGAGGAUGAAUUGUCUGUUUCUUGUGAAGACUUAAGUAAUAAUCCUUUUGAUUCUGCUUGUGGUGUGUAUCUACUUGAGGGUUCUUCCAUGAAAAGAGAAAGUGUCCAUUGCUUGGAAAUUACUUCUUCUUCUACUUUGUGUGACCUUAUUGUUGAGAGUACUCAUGGUGAUGAUUUUGAAACUAGUAGUGAGUACAUACAUGAAGACACCUUAGUUGAAGUUGACUUGAGUGACAUGUCUAUAGCCACUCUUUCUAUUUAACCCGGGUGCCAAAUGUAGAUAUUAUGAUGUUGGCACACCCAAAUUGUUGCUUGGUUUGGUCUACAUGACAAGCAAAGUGACAUUCUUGAAAACUCGAGGGCAAAAGUGUCAUUGUCUUCUUGGGGUAAUGUUACUAAAUGUGCAUCCUUUCUUGACACACUUGUGCUUAAGUUGCAUGAUUCCCAACUUGUGGAUGCCAAGUUGAUACUUUACUUGAAAGAAAGAGGUCAUAUGUGCUUUAGUGCCUUAAAUCCAUCCUUGUGUGCUUUAUGUGUUAUAUCUUAUGGGCCAAAUUGCAUUCUUAUAGAUAACAGCGCCUUGGAUGAUGCCUUUACACUUGAUUCCUUCUUAUACUACCUCUUUGCCUAUGAUGACAUCCAUACUAGUUUUGGAUUUGUAUUAUGUAGAGGUAGGGAACUUGUUGGUUGGUCCACUUUUUUGAAUGACAAUACUAUGUGGGUUUGGUGGACAAUAAGACCAAUAGUGGCACCACUUUUGAUGAGGACACUUGAAGAAGUAAUGAAACAAUUAUGUCUAGUGGUUUCUAACAUAAAGGUAGUCUUACCUUUUGGCUUUAGUGAUACCAUUAAGACCUUUGUAGUUUCUUUAUCUCUUGAUACUUGUUAUAGCCAUAUCCUUUGUGAUAUUUUCACUAAGUUUUUCUUGACUAAAAUAAAGGAUUCAUGGUUAUAUUUUAAGUGUGUACCCCCUUGGCAUGAUGAUGUUAUUUGUUGUACUAACCCUAACCCUCAUGCCAUGAGGAUGUUGUGCUUGUUUGUCCUUUCUUUGGUUUUUCAAGGUAUGGAUUCGAGGUUUAAUCCUUUUCAAGAAGGGGAGGAUGAUACGAGCCAAAGGGCCAUCAUAGCUUUUGAUGACAUUAUUGGAGGCCCAUACAUGAAGAUUCAAGCUUUGGUCAUAUUGAGGGUACAAGGACAUGCAUGGAGGACUCAUUUUGAAAUUACAAUAGAGCAAAACCAUGUUUGGAAGAUUGCUUGGGACGUGUGUUGAUGCCUACCAAAGUAUUCCAAGAGGUUUCAUAUUUUGAAGCUUGAAUAAGAAGGGACCCACGAAGCAUUAGUGGGGAGGCCUUAGAGUGUAAACACUCAUUAAGGGUGUUUUAGUUUUUUUUGUGCCAUUUCUUUACACUCCAUAGGAUCCCUUUUUCAUUAAGGGUAUUUUGGUAUUUUAUGUAAUAAGCUAUAAAUAGACUCUUUAGGCUUAUUUUCUCAUUAGUUGAUUAUUGAUAUUUGAAAGACUUCUUCUUCUCUCUUUGAGAGUGUAGUGUAGGGCUUUGAAAAGACAAGUAGAGUAGGGCUUGGAAAAGCCAUUAUUGACCUUUGCUUAGAAAUGGUGGUUGUAAGGCGGAGUUGAUUCCCUUAGUGGUCACUGUAAGAGUUUGGUGUUGUAAUUGCGGGUCUUAAGGGUCUUAUCGUUUGAUACAUGGUUUGGUUCCUAUUUUUCGCAACCUCAUAUGUCAAGCUAUCUAUCUUACUUUAUUGUAUUUGUUUGUUCUCUUAUUUCUCUUAGUCUUCAUCUCUUUAGGUCAUUCUUCUAUCACUAAGAUGCCUUUAUAUGAAUAAUACGUUGAGUUUGAAUCUCAAUGCACCAUAUUGAUGAUAUUAUUAUGGCUAAAGCAAAAUAAUGUGUGUUUUGUAAAAAGUCAUUAAUCCUAUCUUUUUUAAAUGUGCUCCAUUCUAUGAAGUGAAUGUGGUAGCAAUAUAUGAUAAGUCUGAUAGAUGACAAUUUAUUCCAUUGUUGAAGUAAAUGUAGUCUGAUAGAUGACAAUUUGUUCCAUUCUUGAAGUGAAUGUGGUAGCAAUAUAUAAUGUACUCUGAAAGAUAUGUUAAGGGAAUUUUUUUUCUACAUUAGAUGUAUGGCUCGAUUUUUCUCUAGAAGUAGCAAUAUUUUUGAUACGGGAAUGACAACGGAAACACGAAAUCACAUUCCAAGUCUUGGGUUCAAUACAUCUCACAAACAUACAUCCUCGUGGUCAUACCCAUAUCAUCCACCCCUUCUUGAAAAGGAUUCGACCUCGAAUCCAUGCCUUGCAAAAUCAAGAGAAGACAAACAAGAACGCAUCCUCAUGGCAUGAGGGUUAGGGUUAGCAAAAUACAUAUAUCAAUAUGCAAUGCCGAGGUGGAACAAACUUGAAGUACAUCCAUGGAUCCUUUGUGUUGAACAUAAAAAACUUAGUAUAAAUGGCACAAAGGAAGUGGUCACCACCAACAAAAAGAGAUAAGGAAGAAACUUGUCUUCCUUCCUUAGCACCCAUAAUCAAACAUUGCUUGUCAUCUUGACCAAGCAUUAAGUGGAGAGUGUCGAGAUUUUCAUAUUCCAAUAGGGUGCCGGGAUCAAAUGGAAAAAUUAGCCAAGGACCUAAGCCGAGGCUAGCCCUUCCUUCCCCUACAAUGUCACUCCCAUAUUCACACGCAAAAAUAUUUUUAUACACAUGAUCUCUAUGAACGAAACUAAUUGCAAUGCUUUUACCGCACAAGAUGUUCAAACCGUGCAUUAUCAAGAUUAAUUUUACAGACACCAUCACUAACUUGAGAGUUUUUAAGCAUACUAUUCACAUGCCCAAGUAGUGAACUACUUUUAAGAGUAAAUUGAUCAUCAUGAACACCAAGAGUACUACUUUUGAAGGCCAACACGUAAAGGCUCAUGACUUGGUCACCCCAAGAGCACAAGGAUAUGUAAGGAAGGAUCAUUUUGAGCAUGACUUAAAGCAAUCUCGUGUGUAGAAGGUUGCUUGGUUGCUUACAUUGAUGGUAACCCGAGAAUAACAAGACUUGAAGUAUGAACCAUACUCGGUUUUUUAGAGCAUUGAAAAGGCACCAUUCAUUCAAGUUAUAACGUACCUUGGCUGCCCUUUCAUUAAGGGUAUUUUAUACAUUACAUAUGGUGUAUUUACACACCAUGGAAGCCCCUCUCAUUAAGGGCUAAGUGGUCUUUUUAUCUUCAUUUGUAAUAUAUUAUAAAUAGGCCCCUUUAGUCUUAUUUUCACUAGUUUUGGAAAAAGAUGAAAGAUUGAAACAUUAAAAAUCCUCUCUCUUGAGAGUAGAACACUUAGUCUUAGUUUAGGGCUUGGAAAAGAUAAUAUUGUUCUUUGCUUGGAAACGGUGGAUUUUAGUGGUCACCGUGAGAGUGUGGUUUUGAUUAUUACAUUCAUUAGGGGUUAAUGUUGAAAUAUACUUGGUUCUUAAUCUUGUAAUAAUCUUGGUCUCACUAUCUAUCGUUUACUUUCUUGCAAAUCAUGUAUGUGUUGUGUAGCGGACUGUUUUGGGCCCUUCGUUGAAUCCAAAACUUGUAUUAUUGUUGUUCAUCUUGUUCCUCAUGUUUUGUAGCUGUUUUGGUGUUAAAAUACACUUGUAUCUUGUAUUCUUGUUGUAUUUGUUGAAUCUGAGAGUUGGUCUCUAAUAGGUCCUCAAAUCUUGUGAUUUGUGGACUAUUUUGGGGUGUGUUUCAUCCUUCCAUUGUCUUUAUUGUAUCAUUUGGUAUCAAAGCAAGGCUGGUUCUGUUCCUACACUACCAAUCUUUGGUUCUCUUGGACGAAAAUUAAAAAAAAAAAAGGCUAAAAACUGAAAAAAAAAUUCCAGAAAAGUGCAAAUCUGUCCAUUUUGUGUUCUUGGCUGAAAAUUGUGUUGUUUUUAUCUUGGCCAAGAUUUAUUUGUUGUGUGACUAGAUCUAGUAUUGUUCUUGUUUGUUUUGUUGUUUUUAGUGUUAGUUUUCUUGUCCACUAACACUUUGAGUCUAGAUCUAAACUUGAGCUUGGACUUGUUGAAAGUUGUUAUUGUGAACAUAAGCUUGGCCCAUUGUUGUGGUGGACUAUUUUGGAUGCAUGGUUUCUCCUUGAUGUUCUAAACUUGACCACGUGAUAUUGUUGUUACUUGGUGGCUUGAGAACCAUUUUGUUGAAGUUGUAGUUGUCGUGGCCAAGUGUUGGAGAUAUUGUUAUUGUGGAUUGAAGUUGGCCGUUUGAAUUGUUGUUGUUCUUGAAGAUUGUUGUUAUUGUUCUUGGUGUGGUUGUUGUUGUUCUUGAAGUUCUUCACCUUCCUUCAUAUAUUGUUAGAACAUAAAGUGAAUGUUAGAUCCUAAAAGGUAAAGAAAAGAGGUGUAUGUAGUUGUUAGUCUUGAAAGAACCCCAACCACCAAAAGACUUUAUAUCACUUCUCAAUCACUUUUCCAUGAUUUAAGGACCCAUGUUUUAAGGAGAAGUACAAGAAAAAGUCCAGUGAAAAUUGAAAAAGGCCCCAAGACUUAUUUUCCCUCCUAAAACAAAUUCCACCGAACCAAUACGUGGCUUCCAUAUCAUCACCGCUACUGUUCACGCAAUAUUUUCGAGCUCAACUUUUAGAUUCUUAGUUUUAUCUUAUUGUUUCAUUAGUUUCAUGUCUUGAUUCUAGAAUUAAUUAACAACUAGUAAUCACCUAUACUUAGUUGUAGAUUAAUUAUUGAAUCCAUUUCUUCGUGUCUUCGUUAUUUGUGUGUUUUUCUCAUUUUUAACUCGUAGUAACUUCUUUGUUUCAAGUUCGUAAGUAAAUUUUAUUUUGUUUCUUGAGUCGAUCAAGCAAGAAUCCAUUCUGGCCGCCAAGUAGAAUUGACAUCUUAUUGACUACCGGAGUAUAAGCAACUUUCAAUAUUCGCCGCUCCAAAUUGUGAGGAUCAUAAAAGUGAGUGAAUACGAGUGUUGGUGAGGAGUUUUUACUACUAAUCUUGUUUGUUCAUUUUAUAGGUUUAAAAGUUAAUAUAAGAGGAACAUGUGUUCGAUAUCCGGGGAUUAUUGUGACUACAAUAUGGGAGACUACGAUUGUAGUAAGGGUUUUUAUGGCUACGAAGUUGAGGGAGAUUGUGGAGGCUUUGAAAAUAGCCAUGAUCAAAACUUGGGCAGAUUUAAAAGUUACUGUUUUGAGGGAGAAAAUGAGGUGAAUAAAGUACCUAGUGCUUAUGGUGACUUUGGAGAUGAUAUAAGACCUCAUGAUGGAUCAUAUGAUAACGUUGGGGCAUGUGAGAAGUCUUAUAAUUCUCACUCCAAACCUAGAUUUGGUGUUAGGUUUAACCCUUUCGUUCGAAAAACUUAUGAGACAUAUGAUGAGAGUACACGUAAGGAGUGUGAAUAUUCAUAUUCUCCACCUUGUAGUGCUUUUUAUCAAGGUCAAUAUAGUGUGAAUGGUUAUACUAACUAUAGUGGAGGUUGUCCAAUGAGAAGAUGAGGGUACGCAUCUCCAAAACCAAGGGGUACUCGUAUGCCUUACAAUCUUGAUCCAAAAAGGAGUGUACACUCCGGAAAGGUGACCAUUUUUUGUGGGAUACCGGGCUGCCUCAUUGUGUUAAAUGAUAGGUACUAUAGAAACUACAUCAUUCCAUCCAUGGUUGAUUACUUGGGGUUGUUUUGCGAUCAUUUACUUGUUUCAUACUUUUUGGACAGGUUCAAGGUUACCGAGAGGGUAAAAGUUAUCUUCUCCCAAUAUGAAUACCAUGAGGAGGUGUGGUGUGACAUUCCUCCCUUGGCCUACGGUCAUGUAUACUUUGGCGUCGAUUGGUUUGCACAAUAUCAAGUUCCUAACGUGGAAAAUUGGUCUAAUAUUGUAAGAGACCAAUGGGGAAAUCGCCUCAUGACUUACUUGCUGCCCAAGCUGUAAAGAGAAAUGCCUACCUAUUCCAAUCGAAAUAAUUAUGAGAGACAAAAGAUUGAGAGGAGUAAGGGAGUGCAAGGUGGUAAUUCGAGAGUGGAAAAAAAGAGGUUGUGUGGAGAGAAGUGAGGGGAUUACCACCAAACUGUGCUAACAUUGGUUGUCCUUCUAUUUCUAAGGACAUUUGUGUAGGUACCAACAUGGCAAGCGAAGACGAACAAUGCCAAAAAGAAGUUUUUGGCCAAGCUUUUGGAGGACCUUCACACCAUGACAAAGAAGAAUUUACUCAAGGACUUCAAGGUAAAAUGCUUAACUCUUACACUUUUGUACAUGUGAAUGAUACUUGCCUAUAUGCGAGUCUAUUAUUUCUUUGCCACUUGAUAAUGAUGUACAUAUUGUGAGUGUGGAUACACUAGUUGAUCAUAUUGAUGACUGAAUCAACUCUUCUUGUAAGAUCGAUUUAUGUCCACCUAGUGUUGAAACCAUUAUGUUGAAUGAAAGUACAUUAUCUUCUGAAAUUUGUGUUGAUCAACUUAUGUGUGAAAAUUACCCACCACUUGAGGAUGUGUAUGAUGUAAUUAAUGAACCUCAAGUGUGUGAUGAUGUUUAAAAUGUUGAUCAAAGGAAUAGGAGUGAACUCGAGAGCUAUUGUUGGGAUAAUCUUGCACUUGAAAUCUCUUUGCAACUUGAUAUUGAUCUUUUAGAGAGUGAUGAACGUAUUUGUUUCGAAUCUACCCAUGAAAUAGAUCAUGCUCUCUUUAGGUAUAAUGUCUUGUUUGAAGAUGAUAUAACCACUCCUAAUGAAUCUAGAGGUGAAAAUGAUGGUAUAGCUUAUCGUAGAAGCUAUAGCCGAUAUGCUAACCCACUAUGGUGUGACAACAUUUCUACUAAAGAUGGAAAUCACUUCUUUGAAGAUGAAAGUACUCUUAAGGGUAAGGGAUGUAUAGUCUUGGAAACUACUUCUCCUUCUACUUUGUGUGAUUUUAUUGUUGAGAGUACUGAUGGUGAUGAUUGUGAAACUAGUAGUGAGUACACACAUGAGGGCACCUUAGUAGAAGUUGACUUGAGUGAUACCUUUCUCUACUCUCUAUUUGCUUUGGAUAAUAUGUAUUCUAUUGUAGAGAGUACACCAUUUAGUUUGGGUAGAGACCACGGGAAAGGGGAGUGUUGUCUAGACCCGUGUCUAUGGCCACUCUUCCUAUUUGACCUGGGUGCCAAAUAUAGAUUUUAUGAUGAUGGUCCACCCAACUUGUUGCUUGGUUUACAUGAAAAGCAAAGUAUCACUUUUGGUAAAUUCCAUAACCAAAUCCUUUAUGCAUUUUUCAUUAAUUAUUUAAUAUUUAGUUCAAAGGAUCCUUGGUUAUAUUAUAAAUAUGUGCAACCUUGGAAUGUUAAGGUGAUUUAUCGUGCUAACCCUAACCCUCAUUCCAUGAGGAUUUUGUAUUUAUGUGUCCUUUCUUUGGUUUUGCAAGGUUUGGAUUCGAGGUCGAAUCCUUCUCAAGAUGGGGAGGAUGAUACGAGUCAAAGGGCCACCUUAACUUUUGAUGACAUCUUUGAAGGCCAACACGUAAAGGCUCAAGACUUGGUCACCCCGAUAGCACAAGGAUACACAAGGAAGGAUAAUUUUGAGCAUGACUUAAAGCAAUCUCGUAUGUAGAAGGUUGCUUGGUUGCUUACAUUGAUGCUAACCCGAGAACCACAAGCCUUGAAGUAUGAACCAUACUCGGUUUUUGAGAGCAUUGAAAAGGCACCAUUCAUUCAAGUUAUAACAUACCUUGGCUACCCCUUAAUUAAGGGUAUUUUAUACAUUACAUAUGGUGUAUUUACACACCACGACAUCCCCUCUCAUUAAGGACAAAGUGGUCUUUUUAGCUUCAUUUGUAAUAUAUUAUAAAUAGGCCCCUUUAGUCUUAUUUUUACAAGUUUUGGAAAAAAAAUGAAAGAUUGAAACAUUAAAAAUCCUCUCUCUUUAGAGUAGAACACUUAGUCUUAGUUUAGGGCUUGGAAAAGAUAAUAUUGUUCUUUGCUUGGAAACGGUGGAUCUUGAGGUGAGUUGUUUCCCUUGGCGGUCACCGUAAGAGUGUGGUUUUGAUUAUUACAUUCAUUAGGGGUUAAUUUUGAAAUAUACUUGGUUCUUAAUCUUGUAAUAAUCUUGGUCUCACUAUCUAUCCUUUACUUUCUUGCCAAUUGUGUAUGUGUUGUGUAGCGGACUGUUUUGGGCCCUUCAUUGAAUCCAAAACUUGUAUUAUUGUUGUUCAUCUUGUUCAUCACGUUUUGUAGCUGUUUUGGUGUUAAAAUACACUCUUGUAUCUUGUAUUCUUGUUGUAUUUGUUGAAUCUGAGAGUUGGUCUCCAAUAGGUCCUCAGAUCAUGUGAUUUGUGGACUAUUUUGGGGUGUGUUUCGUCCUUUCAUUGUCUUUAUUGUAUCAAUUUUGAAAGGGGUUAUAAGCUAUCAAAAUUUGAUAGACUUAUGACAUAAUUAUAUUCCAUUCCCGGGGAAUAAGAAUUUUGAUUAUUAUAAGUAUAGAUCCAUUCCGUAAGGUGAAUGUGAUAAUAUUUAUUAAAACUUCCAAUACAAACAAGCACUUGAUUAUUAUGGUAUCGUAACUCACCUCUAGAAGAAGAAGAAGAAUUGAGAGGAACUAUUCUGAAAUUUACUUUCGAAGUAGUAAAUCUAAAAAUUUAUUCAUGUAAUAGUAAAUCUAAAAUUUGAACGAUUAUGACAUUCUGAAGAUGUGCAUAUUGAGUAUUGGACAUAUAAGGAAGAAUUCGAAAAUUCUUCAAGAAUUGUUUAUGUUGUCUGUUCUCAUGAAAAGUUGGUUGGACCAGCUAAUAUUGGGAUUGGAUUCCUUAAAUUUGGAAAAUAUAAAAUGUAAAUAUGAGCCUGUUCACCUAUCAUAUGAUAUAUUGAAAAAAUGCAUCAAUAAGAUGAUCACAUGUACAUUUAUUGUCAACUUGUAGUUUCACAUUCACAAAGUUGCUUGCUCAAUUUCAGAUUAUGUAAUCAAGACAAUUCAUCUUGAUAAUAUUGGUAGAUAUUAAAUGCCUGUGAUAAAUAGUUGAAUUAUUGCUGAUGAGAGCAAAGCUUUAUGUGUUAGUCUGAAAUAUGAUAUGUUGUAUACAAUAGCACUUGUAUGUAUUAGACCAAUAAAUUAUGAUUAUUUUUUCCCUCUCAAUUGGUUUAAGGUCAAGAACCAAAUAUUCCAUUCUAAACUUUUUUGAUAUGGGAUAUAUGAUUAAUGAAUAUACCAUGAUACACAAAGAUGGAUAUGUUAGUUUUUCUAAUAUGAGGGGGAGAUAGUAAACAACUAAGAAAUAUGUUGUAAAUUAUCAUCAAUAUGAUCCUCAUUCAAAGGAUAAUUCAAGUUCAAAUGCUAGGAGCGUUUGCUGACACAAAGAUUGAUAUUAUGUUUAGCGGUAUAUUAGUUGUAAAUGCUCCAAUUGGAUGUACCUGAAGGACAAACUCUACUACAUGUAUGAAGCAUGGUAGAUUAAUCGGUUCUAAAAGCAAUAAUCUUGAAAAAUAAAAAGGAGCAAAUGAUCAUAAUUAGGAGACACUGUGCUCUUAAAGAGCCUACGACAUAACACUUCAUGAAACCCUACAAAAGAGGUUGAGGUACAUGGAAAUAAUGAAGUGAUGAGAUCUCAAAAUAUUAUGUCACAUUGUAAACCUAUAAAAGAUAAUAUAUCAUCGAUAAUAUCUUUGAUACAAUAUUGGUCAAUAUUAUAAAAGAUUAUGAGGAUCUGAAUUCUACGUUUAUUAAGCAUGCUGACGUAGAAAUAUUUAUCAAGUGACACGGAAUGAUGCAUCUUGGUAAACAUAAAACUUAUUUGAUUUGUAGUCCAAACAAUUGAAGAUGUCACAUAUGAAAUGCUGAAAUUGUCACUUGACAAAAUUUAUAUGAAAACUUUUAAUUCAAAAUAUUUGAAGCAUAUAAAAGUUUUUGUGAAACUUAUUUAUAAUCCUUAUAUAGUAUAAAUUUAUAACUUAAAAAUUAUUGAAACACCUGGAGAGUUUUCAAAAGUGAUAUAUUAUUUGUUGAAAGAAGUUGAGAUAAGAAAAAUGCAAAAUUGGAUUGGAUCUUGAAGUACCAUAUCUUGUGCAAUUGAUGCAUUUACACAUCUUCUUGCAACUAUGAGCAUGAUAUAGUUUUACUUCAAUAUGUAGAGAGUGAAGUGAUCACUUGCAUAUUGCAAUUGAAAGUCCCUAUACAAAUGUGUUUAUGCUAACACAUAUUAUCAAGUUUUUGAAUACACAUGAUAUUCAUAUGAUUAACAUAAUGGUUCGAUACAUAAAUAAUACCUAUUGUUAUGAAGAGGGUCACUGUCAUACCAUGUAUACAUGACAUUCAUAUAAUGGUAAGAUGAUAUCUAUUCAUAAAGUAAGUCGAGAAUGUAUGUGGCUUAGGUUAAUGAUACCUAUCAUUUAAGAAAAAUGUGGUUUGAAAUGUGAAAAAGUACCUAUGAUUUUGCAUGAAGAUAAUUCAAUAUGCAUAGCACAACUCAAGGAAGGAUUUAUAAAAGGAGAUAUAAUGAAGCAUAUUUUGCCAAAACUUUUCUACAUACAUGAGCUUCAAAAGAACGGUGAUAUCAACAUGAAAUAAAUUUGUUCGAGUGAUCAUAUGACUAAUUUAUUCACAAAGUCUCUAUCAAUUAAAUCUUUCAAGAAGAUGAUGCACAAGAUUGAAAUGUGAAGAUUCAAGAUUCAAAAUUGAUGUCCUAAUCAGGGGGAGAAAAUACACAUUGUACUCUAUUUUCCUUUCAAGGUUUUGUCACACUGGGUUUUCCUUGUAAGGUUUAUAAUGAGGCAUCCGAAAUGUGUAUGAUUAGAGAUGUGUACUCUUUUUCCUUCACUUGAUUUUUUUCACUAGGUUAUUUCUAGUAAGAUUUUAACGAGGCACAUUAUCUAUCAAUUAGACAUUCAAGGGGUAGUGUUAUAAAAGUAUUAUUAGUCUCCUAUAUUCAGGGUCUAUGUUUUAAUAAUGACAAACUAAUGAGUAGACAUGUCCAGGAUAUUAAGGAUCUCUAAUGAUGGAAGGAGAGGCUAUUGAAAAUACACCAAAGAUGUAGAAUCUCUAAGGAAUCAAUUCAAGAUAUCCAAAAUAUCUCGCAAACAUCCAACAGCAAGAUUGCCAUGGAACAAUAUCAAUCAUGCAAAAUCAAUUCAAGAUCUCAAAGAAAAUCUUGAAAAGAAAAGCAAUCAUCCAAUAACAACUUGAUAGGAGCAAAAGAAAAGAAGAUCGUGGACUCAUCUGAUACAGAUGUGUAUAAGUACUGUGUAAAGACAUAUCUGAUAUGGACUACUGUACAGUAACAUUCCUCAAUCAAGGAAUCAAAUUAAAUCCUUGAUUGGGAUGAAAUCUCUUGGGUUUUCUUAUGAAGAGAAACGACUGAAGAAUAUAAAAGAGAGCACUGAAGAUCGAAGCAGUCACGCAACUUCAAGGAAGAAUCUCAAAGUCUCUUAAUAUUAGUCUCACAAGGCUUUGUACUUCUUAGUUUACAAUAGUUAUAUAGAGAGUAGAAUCAAGUCAACUUUGUAAUACAAACUAAAGCAGUGUCAUAAGAUCUAAAGAAUAGAAUAAGUCUUUAAAACUUAUUUUCAUCAUUGAACUCUACCUAACUUUGAAAAAUCUAAGAAAAUGUUAAAACCCAAGGGGACUAAAAGUAGGCACCACAUUGGUGUUCCAAACCAGGAUAAAUCUUCGUGGCUUUAUUUUAAAGAUGAUUAUUUACUUAUUCAAUUAUUUAAAUCUAAUCUGUUUUGUGAAAUGUACUGAUCUAUAGGCAAGUCGACAGUGAAGAGUCAAUAGUCGACUCAUAGAAAAUUUUCAAUUCACCUCUUUUUGAAUUUCAAUUUGUAUCAGAGCCAGGUUUCAAUAAUAGUAUUGAUUAAACGUACAUAUGCAAAGAUCAAAUGGAAUACUAUCAACUUCCCAGUGCUUUCUUCAAGACGGUCAUUCCUCCAUAAGACCACCAUACUUCAAUAGGCAACACUAAUCUUAUUGGAAGAACAAAUUUGGAAUCUUAUCCUAUCAAAUGACUUUAAAGCAUGCUUUGUCAUUAAAAAGGGACCAAAUCCAAUUCCAGGACACAAGGGGGAAAAGAAAAAAACCAGUAGCCUUUAAUGCCACACCAACUGAAGAGGAGGACUUUUUGGAAGAAGACAAUUGCGAAGGAAUGACUCUCAUAAAUUGAGUAAGACAAAUCAUGAGAUAGAGAAAACAAAGAUCCCAAGGAGCCAAAAAUAAUGAUUCCACUAGAAAUGAUGAUCGCUGUUAUCAUUGUGGAAGCAGUCCAUUUUAAACAAAACUGUUCAGAAUUAAGAAGAAUAUCAUCUAGAAAGAAUCAAAAUUUGGAUCUUGGAGUGAUGAAAAUGAAACUAAAGAAGAAAAGAAGCAACUAACAUGUGCUUUAUGGCAAAAGGUAAAUCUAGCGAGGUAAGACAACACGAAUGUUAUAACUAUAAUAUUAUUUAAUCUGACUUAGAUAUGAUAACUGAUGAGCUUCAAAAAGUUAUAGAUAAAUAUAAUAAACUUUCCCAAAAGAAGAAAAGCUAAAAAGCUUGACUUAAAAAAAAACUCAAAGAGGAACCAAGAAACUAUCAAGUUGAAAUAGAAACAUGUCAAAUUGAAAUUGACUUGCUUCAAGAAAAGCUUGAUGAUGUAAAAAUGCAAUUGAAUAGCAUUAAAAAAUCACUAAGUCAUAGUUUUGUGAGAUCAAAUUAUUUUUAAACCAACUCAAGUUGCUCAUCAAAAUCGUUUAAAUUAGCCAAGACCUUUUUCUCCUCACAAGGACCUGUCUGUUAUAUCUGUGGACCAGAAGGGUACAAAUUUUAUAGCUGCAGGCUAAACCCAAAAAGUGUGUGGGUUUGGAGGCAUAAAGGGAGAACAUCUAAUCCACCAGGACCCAAGACCACUUGGGUACCUAAACAAAAUUAAUUUUCUUAUUUUGCAGGAACAUUCCUGAAAAAGCUAUAAAAAGGAAAUAUGGGUCAUUGAUAGCAGAUGUUCCAGAAAUAUGACAAGAAAGAAAGAAAAAUUUUGUGCUUUAAAGAAAAUAGAAGGGGCAUUAGUCAGAUUCGGUGAUAAUGCUAGAUGAAAUGUCAUAAGAGUCAGCUGAGUAAAGCUCAAAUCCUCAUGUGAAUGUAUUGAAAUAUAUCUCAUAGAAGGCCUAAAACACAACCUGAUCAGCAUCAAUUAGCUAUGUGACACUGGAUUUGAGGUCUCCUUCAAAGCUAAAAAUUGUUUUAUUAAACAUGAUAAGAGAGAUAUCUCUCUUAUCGGUGAACAUAUUGAUAAUAUUUAUGUCUUAAAUAGUUCUGGUUUUGCUACCUUAACCUACCUCACUCUGCAAACCAAUGACACUUGGUUGUAGCACAGAAAACUUGGGCAUGCCAGUAUGCACAUCAUUGAGAAACUAUCCAGAUUAGAAUUGGUGAAAAGUCUGCCAAAACUCAAGUUUGAAAAGGAUCAUAUCUGUGAUGCCUGCUAAUUGGAUAAACAGACCCGAACGUCAUUCAAAGUCAAGGAAAUUGUCUGUACUACCUAACCUCUUCAAACAAUCCACAUGGAUUUAUUUGGCCCCACCAAAACCAUGAGUAUUGAUGGAAAAAGAUAUGCUUUCAUUAUUGUUGAUGAUUAUUCUCUCUUUACUUGGGUAAUAUUUCUUGCUCAUAAAUAUGAGUCUCACAAACUUUGAGAUCUUUUGUAGAAAAGUACAGAGGAAGCUGGACACCUUAUUACCUAUGUCUAUAAUGAUCAUGGAGAAGAAUUCGAAAACAAGGCUUUUGAGGAAUAUUGUGCUUUGAAUGAAUAUUCUCAGAACUUCUCAUCACCCCAGUCUUCUCAACAAAAUAGAGUGGUAGAGCAAGAGAAUCAGUCUCUCCAGGAAACUGCUAGGACUAUGAUGUUAGAACCCAAUCUCCUAAAUUACUUUUGGGUAGAAGUAGUAAGCACAAUAUGUCACAUAUCAAUAUACGCCUCAUCAGUCCUAUUCUAAAGAAGACGCCUUAUGAGUUGUGGAGAGGAAAAAACCAAAUAUCAGUUAUUUUUAUCCCUUUGGAUGAAAAUGCUUCAUCCACAACAACAGUAAGAAUAACUUGGGAAAAUUUGAUCCAUAAAAUGACAAAGGUAUUUUUCUUAGAUACUCUCCCACUAGUCGUACCUAUAGGGCUUACAACAAAAGAACAUUAUUUGUUGAAGUAUCUAUGCAUAUUGUGUUUGAUGAAACUAAUCUCCCUCCUAUGAGCUUAAAUAUUAUAAAGAACAGGUGAAUGAUGUAUAAUUUGGCGCCAACAUUAGCAUAAUUCUUGAGCCGAUGUAAGAUAAGUUGAUUACACCCCCUCCACAGUUGACUCCUAGAGUGGGAACAGUCAAACUGAGUGUUCUAAGAGAAUGGAAACAUGCUUCUAAUUAUACAAAAAAACUCAUCAUAAAAAAUCCAGAUGAUAGGGUACAGACAAGAGCAUCAUUAAGAAAACAAGCAUCUGUUGCUCUUGUAUCUCAAAUCAAACCAAAACAGAUCGAUGAGGCACUUAGAGAUGAAUCCUGGGUCAAGGACAUAAAGGAAGAGUUGGACAAAUUCGAAUGAAAUUAAGUUUGUACUCUAGUUGAAAAACCCAAGAACUGCUCAAUAAUUAGAACUAGAUGGGUCUACAGGAACAAAUUAAAUAAAGAAGGUAAGGUCAUCAGAAAUAAGGCCAGACUUGUAGGUCAAGGCUACUCUCAACAAGAAGGUAUUGAUUAUAAUGAAACCUUUGAUCCUAUAGCAAGGUUUGAAUCAAUUCAUAUUUCAUUAGCUUUUUCUGCUUAUAAAUGUUUCAAGUUGCAUCAAAUGAACAUCAAAAGUGCCUUUUUAAAUGGAUUUAUUCAUGAACAAGUCUUUGUAAAAAAAACCUCCUGAUUUUGAAAAUCCAGAUUAUCCAAACCAUGUUUUAAAAUUAUCAAAAGCACUCUAUGGUAUCAAACAAGCUCCGAAAGCUUAGUAUGAGAGAUUGAGUACUUUCUUGCUAAAUAACAAUUUUCAAAUAGGUAAAAUUGAUACAACUUUGUUCACAUAAAAGCUUGACUAAAACCUUUAUAUUGUGCAAAUUAACAUUGAUGAUAUUAUUUUUGGUAGUCCUAACAUCUCUCUGUGAGAGAAUUUCGCAAACCUGAUACAAGGAGAAUUUGAAAUGAGUCUCAUGGGAGAGCUCACAUUUUUCUUGAGACUAUAAAUUAAGCAAACUCUCAAAGGUACUUUCAUUAGUAAAGCUAAAUACACAAAGAAAUUCAUCAAAAAAUUCAACAUGGAAAAAAAAAGGCUUAUGGAACUCCGAUGAGCCCAUCCAUGAGUCUUGAUUUAGACUCAUCUAGAAAACACGUUGAUAAGAAAAUGUACAGAGGAAUUAUUGGAUCACUAUUCUAUUUGACCACUAUUCGACCAAACAUUAUGUUUAGCUUAUGUAAGUCUUCCAGGUUCCAGUCGACUCACAAAGUCUCAUCUGAUGUCAUCAAAAGAAUCAUUUGAUAUCUUAUAGGAACUGAUUGGACUAUGGUACCCCUGCUCCUCUUAUUUCAAUUUAAUUAGAAAUUCAUAUGCUGACUUUGCAGGGGAUAAAAGUGAUAGAAAAAGCACUAGUGGAACAUGUCAAAUUCUUGGUGAUGCCCUAAUUUCAUGCACAGUAAGAAGCAAACUUCAGUUGCUCUUUCAACAACUGAAGCUAAAUACAUAUUCGUUGGAAGUUGUGGUACUUAAAUUUUAUGAAUUAUGCAUCAACUACUUGAUUUUAAUCUAUCUUUUGAAUUUGUUCCCAUAAUGUGUGAUAACACAAGUGCUAUUAGUUUGUUUAAAUAUAUUGUGCAUCAUUCUAGGGCUAAAUAUCUUGAUACUAAGCAUUAUUUUAUUCGAGAUCAUGAAGAAAAUAGAGACUUUUCUUUAAUAUUUGUUGACUCAGAAAAUCAAUUGGCAGAUAUUUUAUGAAGCCCUUGUUAGAAAAAGAUUUUGUUACCUUAGAAAAAGACUUGGUAUUCUCAGUAUUAAUGACCUAUGAGUUUUAUAUUUGGACAAAAAUAUUUUUACUUACUCUAAUUUUCUCUUCAAAACCUUUUAACCAAAAAUUAGUUUUCAACAAAGGGAGUCAUCAUUAUUUUUACCAGCUUUUACGCCACCUUUGCCGCUUCUGCACCCCUUUACCUUUCCAACGCACCCUUUUGCCAUUCUUUUACUCCAUCAGUCACCUUUCUCUUUACACCUCUUCUCAUUCCCCUUUAUUUAAUUUCUAAGCAAUUGCCUACAUUCUCUCUCUCUCUUCAUUCACUUACCGUCCUCUAUUCUCCCUCUCUGUCUCUUUAAAAUCCAUCUCUACCCUUUUCCCAUGACAAAAAAUGGUUCCAUGGCUAGUGUUUCCAAAUCUCUCCCUAAAUCUCUCUCUAAAAGUCCUAUUAUCCUCUCUGAGUUCUCUGACGAAUCCUUGCCAGAUUCUCAACAGUCCACUUUUAUCAAAAGACGUCAUCCCACUUCUAGCCCAACCCCUUCUACCAAGAAACCUUGAACUACCUCUCUAAAUUUCUUCCCUCCAGUGGGUAUGCAAAAAUUCUGGACAUGCUCUCAGAAAGAAAAAUUUUCUUCCUUCAAAAAUCACCCUAUUGUACUCAGUCGCAUAAUCAAUCUCUGUCUAUUAAAAGACUUCUUCUGUAAUAUCAGUCACUUCUUUAAAUUUGAAGAUUUGUUCCUGAUUUUUCAUCUCUGUGGACUUGAGGUUUAUGAAGAUCCAGUCCAUAGUUUUAUGUGAAUCUCUAUCUCUCUCCUUAUAGUGGUGAACUUGGGCCUCUUGUGCUUGGCACAAGAAAAUUCCCAAUGAUUUUCUGUUCGAGAAGGUUUUGACACAAAGUUCUCCAGUGUGAUUUUUUUCGUGAAUGGUACCUGGCCUGAAAACUUUGAGGUGAGUUUUGAUGAAGCAACAAGGAUUUUUUCUGACUCGAACACAUCAUCAUCUAAUUUUGGUCCUUUGUACUUGUGUUUCAAGUAUCGCAUCAUGGCCCACAUAAUAGCUACCACACUGAUUCCAAGGAAGUGAUCCCUCAGCAACAUCACUUGUCGCGAUAUAUUUGUCAUGUACUGUCUAGUUAAGAAACAUAAGAUUAAUUGGGCAACCUGUAUUUGUGAUUAUAUGCUUAAAAGUGCAGCAGAUAUUUAUGCCUCCACCAGUUUACCAUAUGGCGUGUUAAUAUCUAAAAUUCUAUUGUACUACUCUACUGAUCUCUUUACUUACCCCCCGAUGGAAGUGAUAUAGAAAUAAUCUCGAAUAUUGACUUAGGAGAGUGCGUGUUGGACCCGAGCCUUGCCAUGUGCAAUUGAAGUGUAAAAAAGGCCCAAAAUGCACCCAAAUCAGCCCAUAAAUUACACUAGAUGGGUGCCCACUCUUUGAAGGGCCUUUUGGUCAUUUUAAGUUAUAUUUUGUAAUAGUUAUAAAAGGAACAUUGUAGGGUUUUUAGAUUUAGUUUUUUAUGAUAUUUGUGAAUCUUGAAAAAACAAAGAACACACGUCCUCUCUCCUUGAGGCACCAAAACCGAAACUAGGAUACAACAAUAGGGUGGAUUCUCUUUUGUUGUUGUUUGCUUGGAAACGUUGAUCCUAGAGAGGUGCAAUCCAAUAUUGUGUCACGUAAGAGAUAGGUUUAUUGUUGUGUGUAGUGUUAAGGGUCCGAGAGUGUCCAUUCUUGGGUUCUUAAGAUUAUACCUUCAUGUGGUCUAUCUAUCUAUCCCUUUACUUUCUUGUAAUCGUGUUUAGUGUUUGUGUUGUAAUCUUGUGUUCUUGUUGUUAUUGUUAAAUCUGAAUAUUGUGUCUUGUGUUCAUCUUGUUCUUCACGUAUUGUUGUUGUUUUGGUGUGAAAUACACCUUGCUCACCUUGUAUUCUUGUUGUAUUUGUGAAUUCGAGAGAGGUCUCCAAUCGGUCUAAGAUCUUAGUGAUUUGUGGACUAUUUUGGAGUGUGUUUAUGGGCUGUUUUUGAGUGAUUUUGUGUCUUUCAAGUUUUUAUCAUAUCAUUUGGUAUCAGAUCAUGGCUUGAUCUUAUUCCCACAAGAUCGAUCUUGGUCUUGUUAGUGAAAGAAUAAAAAAAGUGUUCAAAACUGAAAAAUUCUAGAAAAAAUAGCAAUUUGUCCGUGUUGUGUUCUUGGCCGAAAAUGUGUUCUUGUUGUGUCUUGGCCGAGAUUUUUACUUGUAUUUGUUGUCUCUAAGUGUUAAUUUUUUUCCUGACUAACACAUUGAGUCUAUAUCUAGAUUUAAGCUUUAAAAAUUAAUGUUGUUGUUGUGCACAAGAAGUGGCCAUGAGUUGAAGUUGUUGUUUUAACUUGGUUGUGUGGUGACCUUGUUGUUGGGCGUUGGUUGAUGUUGUUUUUGAUCUUGGUGGUUGUUUUUAUGUUCUUGUUGUUCAUCACAACCUUCAUCUAGUGUUAAAACUGAAAAUACAACACCAAAGAAACUUGGCCAUUUGUUGGUGGUUUUAUUGUUGGUCUUAUUGUUGUGGAAUUGGGCGCUAGAACUUGUUGUUGUUCUUGGGAGAUUGUUGUUGGUUGUUCUUGUUGUAGUUGUUGUGUUCUUGAAGUUCUUCAUCAUAUUCAUCACCUUGUUAACACAAAGUUAACGAUAGAUCCUAAAAAAGGGAAGGAAAGAAGUGUAAGUAAUUGUUAGUCUUGAAAGACCCCCAACCACCAAAAGACUUUACAUCACUUCUCAAUUCCACUUUCCCAUGAAACAAGGGUCCAUGUUUUAAGGAGAAGAACAAGUCUAGUCAAAGACUUUUGAGUCUUCAAAUUUGAAUUCCAAAGACUAGUUUGUAUUUUCCUCUAUUGAACAAUUUCCAUCAAAGUCCAAAUUGUAGAAUUGAUCAAGACUUCCAAAUUUGGAAGAUAAAAUUGUUGACCGAGGCCAAUCAAGGACUGCCACAUCACCAAUUACUGUUCACUGACAAAUUUUAAGCUNNNNNNNNNNNNNNNNNNNNNNNNNNNNNNNNNNNNNNNNNNNNNNNNNNNNNNNNNNNNNNNNNNNNNNNNNNNNNNNNNNNNNNNNNNNNNNNNNNNNNNNNNNNNNNNNNNNNNNNNNNNNNNNNNNNNNNNNNNNNNNNNNNNNNNNNNNNNNNNNNNNNNNNNNNNNNNNNNNNNNNNNNNNNNNNNNNNNNNNNNNNNNNNNNNNNNNUUGUGAGAUUGAGUGUGAGGGAUCCGAGAGACAAGAAAUAAAAGAGAGAGUGAGGAUGUUUUUGUACAACUAAUGUGUUUUCUGUUUUGUAGGUAACUCCUUUGCCAUAAUGGACACCAUUUUAGCCCACCUUGAUGCUAUUACCCGAGAAAUAGCUAAGGCGAAUGCGGGUCUUACCAAAUUGGGCUCGGAUAUGUCUACUAUACUUGAGAGGUUGGAUCAAGUGGAGAGCCGAAGGAACUCUCAUGUUUCUACUCCCAAAGCUUUACCUCAAACUAUCAACCCUCCAUGACCACCACUAAAUGACAUAGACAUAAGCCAAGCCAACAAAUGUCCUCAAACUCGAGACCUAAAUGAGUCACUUCCCCCCCAAUUCGAUCAAGUCCAACAAGAGGGACUUGGAAGCCAAUUUUCUCCCAUCCAAGCUCUACAACCAAAGCUCUCCCUUACCAAAUAAUUCUUCUCAACCGAAACUCUACUUCACCAAAACCAAUAUAUCCAUGUAGAGGAGUAUGGUAGAAAGGAACAUGAAGGAUAUGAAGACUACUACAAUACUUGUAUAAUGGUAGAAACUUGUUUCGGAUAAGAUUGAAGACAAGGCUAAGAUGGAGAGGAAGCCGAGGUUCAAAAUAAAGAUGUUGGCCGAGACUUGUUGUUAUUGAGUCUUCGGAUUCUUCAUGAUUUUGUGGACUAUUUUUGUGACUUGUUUGUGGAUUGUUUUGAGUAGAUUUCCUUUGAAGUGACCAAUUGAAUGAGGUGAAGCCAUGAAUUUGUGGACAAAUUCCUCUCAAGAUGGAGAGGAUAAUACGGGAAUAAUCUCAGAUAUGCACUCACCCGACCCUUGGCAUGUGCAAUUGAAGUGUAAAAGAGGCCCAAAAUGCAUCCAAAUCAGCCCAUAAAUUACACUAGAUAGGUGUCCACUCUUUGAAGGGCCUUUUGGUCAUUUUAAGUUAUAUUUUGUAAUAGUUAUAAAAGGAACAUUGUAGGGUUUUUAGAUUUAGUUUUUGAUGAUAUUUGUGAAUCUUGAAAGAUCAAAGAACACAAGUCCUCUCUCCUUGAGGCACCAAAAUCGAAACUAGGAUACAACAAUAGGGUGGAUUCUCUUUUGUUGUUGCUUGCUUGGAAAUGUUGAUGCUAGAGAGGUGCAAUCCGAUCUUGUGUUACGUAAGAGAUAGGUUUAUUAUUUUUUGUAGUGUUAAGGGUCCAAGAGUGUCCAUUCUUGAUACAAGAAAACCAAGGGAUACACGAAAUUACACUCCAAACAUUCCAUAAAUCACAAGAUUCGAGGACCUAUUGGAGGCCAACUCUCGGAUUCACUACAACACACAAUGGCGAGAUAGAAAGGUGUGUUUUCAACACAAAAACAGCAAAAACAACAAUAAUAUGAGAACAAUAUGAUAAGAACAAUAAAAACAAGAGACAACAACUCACGGGUUGAAGAUUACAAGAUACACAAACGGUUACAAGAUUACAAUAAAUGAAAGGGAUAGAUAGUUAGACCUUGGUUGGUAUAAUCUUAAGAACCCAAGAAAAUGUGAUACUCUUGAACCCUUAACGCUACACACAAUGGUUAACCUAACUCCUACGUUGACACAAGAGGGACUUUACCUCCUCUAAACAGCAACGUCUCAAGCCAUGAAUGCAACACUAGUGAUUCUACACUAGUAUCACCUUAGUUUCGGGUUGCCCCCUAAAGAGAAGAGAGGAAUUGUAUUUCAAAGUGUUAUAAAACUUACAAUAUCAUCAAAGUUUCAGACAAAAAUGACCUACAAUGUUCUAUUUAUACUAGGUUACAACUAGAAUACAAAAUAACCAAAAGGCCCUUUAAUGAAAAGCCUCAAAAUGUCGCCCAUGGAGUGUAGUGUAGGUUCGGUUUUGGUGUGUGUUUUAGGCCCUCUUUUGUAUUUUUUUGCAUACUCCAAGCCUCGGGUUCAUUACACUUUCACACUUCCAUCCUCGUGGUCGUACUUGUAUCAUCCUCUCUUUCUUGAAUAGGAUUCAACCUCGAAUCUGUACCUUACAAAAUCAAGAGAAGAUAAACAAGCACACAUCCUCAUGACAUGAGGGGUUAGGGUUAGAAAAAAAUAACACAUCAACAUGCCAUGCCGAGGCGGAACAAACUUAAAGUAUAGCCAUGGGUCCUUUGUUUUAAUCAUCAAAAGAUUAGUACAAAUGCUACAAAGGAGGUGGCUCGGGCAAGCAUCAAGACAAAAGGAAAAUAGGCCAAGAGUAAUCCUUUCCCACCCUAAGAUGGUACCGGGAUCAAAUGGGUGGAGUAACCAAGGACUUAGGCCUCGGCCACUCUCACUUUCCCCUAAGGUUCCGUCUUCAAAAUUAGGCAUACCCUCUAUAUCCCUGUGGAAAAUAUCAUGAGUAAAAAGAGGAUAAAGAAAGGUGUCACAAGAGUCAACUCCAACUAUGAUCUCCUUAUGCAUGUACUCACUAGUUUCAAGUCCAACAACACUAGUAGGCUUAACAUGGGAAACACAUAAAGAAGUAGAUGGAAUUUCUAAGCAUGCAACACUUUCUCUUUCAAGAGAGUAGUCCCUACAUAGACAUAAACUAUCAUGGGCAGCAAAGGGAUCACAAGCAAAACCAUCUUUACCAAGACAAUCACAAUUCGGGUUUCCUAAAUAAUCAAGCACGUCAAGGUCAUUUCCACCUGAUUGAUCAUUGUCCACAACCUCACUAGUUGUUGGCAACUCAUAUACCAACAUAGACCCAACUUGGUUUUCACAAGGGUCAACUAGUGUGUGAAUACUCUCGUCACUUGGUAAUGGAACCUUAGUCAAGUUAUAAGUUCUAGCACUAGAUGGACAUAAAUCAUUCUCACGAGGAGAAUCAAUUUCAUCAUCUAAAGGAUCAACUAGUGCUUGUAUACCUACAAUAAGAUUUUGGUCCUCAUGUGACCUAACAAUACUGAGAGUAUCACAAAAAGGAGACUCGAGCACCUCUACCCUAGGCAAAGUCGUAACUACACCUACUUGGCUCCUACUAGCCACAACACAACAUUCUAAGUUCAUAGGAGUGUAAGGGAUAAUUUUUUACCUCGUAACUCAUGUGAGCUACGACCUUCCUCUUUAUGUGUGUCCGGGCAGCCACUUGCUCCCUUUGACCUACCGUACGAUCCAACCUUUCAUUUGCCAUAGCUAGGUCUGGGACAUAGUGUCAAGGUAGGCGAAAAUGACAUUGGUGGCAUUGUUGUCCAUGGGUUGAGAGGUUGAAACCGCGGGUUCCCUUGUAAUUGUACCUAAAAAAGUAAAGAAAAGAACAAACCUACAAAGCAAAACACAAGUUAGUUCGAAACAACCUCACCAUACUCUCACACACUUAAUUAUCUCACACUUGGAUUCACAAGUGAUGCAAGUCGGCUCGUAGUUCGUGAUAAAUCGAGGGGUGAGUCUACUCCUUGGUCGGAAUGAAUUCUUUGUUUGAAGACUCAAGGAAAGUAGUGUCCGAACUUGAACUAAGAAGUACUAUGAUUUUAAAAAUGAUAAAAGCACAAAAGAAACGUAGACACAAACAAUAGAUUCAAAGGACUAAUUAACAAUCUAGUAGGAGUUUACUAGUUUAUUAAUUAGUACUAGAAUUAAUUAAACGAAACGAACGAUUAACAAAUAAGAAACAAAGACAUCAAAAUUUAACCUUUAAAAUUAUCGAUGAACAGUAAAAUAUGACAUGGCAACCAUGUAUUGGUUACGGUUGUUAUCAAAUUUUAUUUUCCAAUUCAAGUCUUGAUCCGAUUGUAAUUUAGAAUUGGUUAAGAAGGAAAAAAAAGUCUUGAAAUCCUCUUUUAAAUUCAAAAAGCAAGACUUGACUUUUCUCCUCAAGACAAGGUCCUUAAAUCAUGGAAAAGUUGUUGAGAAGUGAUUGAUAGGUCUUUAGUGGUUGGGGGUCUUUCAAGACUAACAAGUUUCUACACCUUUUCCUUCACCUUUUUGGAUCAAAUAAGCAAUUUAUUUUUCUAUAAAGGUAUGAAGUUAGUGAUGAAAAUCAAGAACAACAACAACAUUAACCAAGAACAACAACAAUAAUUUUCAAGAACACCAACAAUUCCCUUUUCACAGCCCACUCUAAACCCACAACAAUAUUGUCUCACACGGCCAAGACUACCAUAUCUUUAACAAAAUUGGUCUUAGGACACCAAUUUUAUAACAACAUCACACGGCCAAACUAAGAACAACAACAAUAUUCACAUUACAAUUCCAAACCGUGAGCCACAACAACACCAACAACAAUCUGCCAAGCUUAUGUUCGCAACAACAUCAACAUUUCAAGCUCAAAUUUAAGAUAUAGACUCAAUGUUUUAGUGAGGAACAAUACCAACACUUAGAUACAACAAAGAAAAGUAAAAAUCUUGGCCAAUACACAAUAAGAACACAAUUUUUGGCCAAGAACACAAAUUGGACAGAUUGCUAUUUUUCUGGAUUUUCAAUUUUUUUCAUCAAUAUUUUUUUAACUAACAAGCCCAAGAUUGAUCUUGUAGGAACAAGAUCAAUCCAUGAUUUGAUACCAAAUGAUAUAAUAAAACAAAGGGAUACGCAAAAUUACACUCCAAACAGUCCACAAAUCACAAGAUUUGAGGACCUAUUGGGGACCAACUCUCGGAUUUACUACAACACAUAAUGACGAGAUAGAAAGGUGUGUUUUUAACACCAAAAUAGCAAAAACAAUAAUAAGAUGAGAACAAUAUGAUAAGAACAAUAACAACAAGAGACAACAACUCAUGGGUUAAAGAUUACAAAAUACACAAACGGUUACAAGAUUACAAUAAACAAAAGAGAUAGAUAGUUAGACCUUGGUUGGUAUAAUCUUAAGAACCCAAGAACAUGUGAUACUCUUAAACCCUUAACUCUAUACACAACGGUUAACCUAACUCCUACAUUGACAUAGGAGGGACUUUACCUCCUCUAAACACUAACGUCUCAAGCCAUGAAUGCAACACUAGUGAUUCCACACUAGUAUCACCCUAGUUUUGGGUUGCCUCCUAAAGAGAAGAGAGGAAUUGUAUUUCAAAGUGUUAUACAACUUACAAUAUCAUCAAAGUCUCAGACAAAAAUGACCUACAAUAUUCUAUUUAUACUAGGUUACAACUAGAAUACAAAAUAACCAAAAGGCCCUUUAAUGAAAAGCCUCAAAAUGUCGCCCGUGGAGUGUAGUGUAGGUUUGUUUUUGGUGUGUAUUUCUGGACCUCUUUUGCAUUUUUCUUGCACACUCCAGCCUCAGGUUCAUUACACUUUCACACGUCCAUCCUCGUGGUCGUACUUGUAUCAAUUCUUAGGUUCUUAAGAUUAUACCUUUAUGUGGUCUAUCUAUCUAUCCCUUUAAUUUUUUGUAAUUGUGUUUAGUGUUUGUGUUGUAAUCUUGUGUUCUUGUUGUUAUUGUUAAAUUCGAAUCUUGUGUCUUGUGUUCAUCUUGUUCUUCACGUAUUGUUGCUGUUUUGGUGUGAAAUACACCUUGCUCACCUUGUAUUCUUGUUGUAUUUGUGAAUCCGAGAGAGGUCUCCAAUCUAUCUAAGGAUCUUAGUGAUUUGUGGACUAUUUUGGAGUGUGUUUGUGUACUGUUUUUGAGUGAUUUUGUGUCUUUCAAGUUUUUAUCAUAUCAGGAAGUGAUUGUUACUUAUGACUCCAAAACUUUUGCCAGUAUGGGCUAUGUUUUUGUUGAUAAAUAGUGCAAGAAGUAUUCUGCCCGAUUAAAAUCUGAACACCCUAAGGUAACAAAUCUGUUCCUAACACUAUGAUUACUGUGUUAAAAGAACUAGAGGAAAUCAAAGAUCACUUCAAAGUUGUUGAGAAAGGUAUCCAGCUGCUUCAGGAGCUGUAACACCUCAAUUUUUGAAUUGGAAUGCUACACGGUGCUCAUGACCCCGAGGGACCACAAGCUAACUCAUGACUGAUAUCUGUACCUGUACACUGCAUAAUAUACAUAUAAUACGCGGAAAACCUAAACAUGUAGGCCAUAAGUUCAACUGAAGAGAUAUAGUAACAUCCAUGGGGUAAUGAAUACCCAAAAUAACUGAAUAUAAAACUGAAUACUGAAUCUGAUAGCUAAAUCUGACUAAAUCUGAAAGCCUCUCUAAGUACUUUCUGAAUAAGGAGUUGAAGAAAUAUGUCUCCAACUAACUCCAUAAAACUGAACUAAAAUAAUAAAUAAAUAAAUCAAAUCAUAUUAUCCUCGAAUGGAUGAUGACUCACUGCAACACUGCGAUUGGAAAGCUACUGCUGGUCUGGAACUUGUGGCUCUGGACCUAUAGUGUAAUAUGAAAAAAAAGCACCAUAGCGCAAAUGCAUCAAUACAACUGGAGUACUGAGUAUACGAGUGAGGUAGGCUAAUGCAAAGGGUUUACAUACAUGAAUAAUGCUAACUGACUGACUGAUAUGAAUGUACGAGUACAAACAUACAUACAUAGUAACGGAGAUCGUGAGUAUGUGGUAGCAAAAUUUGUACGCUAAUACAUGGCUGGAACUGUAGUUGUGAUAACAUGAGCGACUAUGUUUGACAUUUCUGAAUUUGGUAAAACUCUCUGAGUCCCAUGCUAUAAUUGAAUUUGACUGUAUCUAACAGUCCUGGUAUAUUGAUAUUUGAAGAACUGUCUGAGUUUUACUACUGAGACUAAUACUGAAACUGUGGGAGAUAGUUGUUUAACUGGUAUGCCCCAUGUAUACCAUUACGGCUAAGCUAGGGUCUAAUCUUUGCCUCGACUGGAUGGGUGUCAAUACCGCACCACUGGUAAGGACAUGAGUGACCUUUAUCUGGUAGGUACUCAAAGUGAGAAUGGUGGGAGCCUAAACUGACAAGUUAAGCCACCUCAUCAACCCUAAUCUGACAGGUUAAGAUGUCUCAACCUACACUGGCUACAUUGUUCUGGAACAUAAGGAUGAAUGCUAAGAAUCAUACCCUGAACUGGCAGGUGAGUUCCCAUCCUUGGGUUCACUCGGUGCUAACUUUUACUCCCAUCUGAAGGGACUGAACAUGAUUCAACUGGCUGUACAUAGAUUGAAUAACUGACAUCCGUUGACUGACGGAGUAGAACUAUUAUCUGAGAGUUAACUGAGAUAGAUUUCUGAUAUUUCUUGAGUCACAUGACUGACUGAGUUCUAUAGAGUAUAGCUUGACUAAGAUUUAUCGUGGCACAUGACAUGGCUCUAGGUAUACAACUAUAUUUUUUGGGUACGAAUACCCCCAGGACUCGAUAGAAGGAAACUGACACACAUGACAUGACUUGAUCACAAGAUUAGAGUCCACAAUUCACAAUAUUAUAAGUAGGGGAUAGUAUACUUCAUGUAUUUAUUCAUAUCUAAACAUGGUAGGGAGAGCAUGGAUACAUUUCGUGUAUAUAAUUCAUAUUUUCAUUAUCAUACAUGCUUCAUGCCACAACAACAACACAUAAAUAGCAUGGAAAUUCAUAUGGAAGUGUAUAGCUAAUAUGGACUUGUCAUUUAGAUAUCAUGGAAUCAUGUAAUUAUGGGUUUCUAGCAUCCUAGGCAUUUUAUCAAACACUUUUCAUACAUCAAUACCAGAAUAAUCCCGGACAUAGAUUUAUGAGAGUGUAUGUUGGAUUUAAUACUUGGUGUGUUCAAUUGAAGAUCCAAAUAGGACCUAAUUAUGCACCCAAAACAGUCCAAACACUACACUUGGGCUACAUUUGAUGGGAGCCCAUCACUUAAGGGCCUUUUGAUCAUUUUUAUCUUUCAUUUUAUAAUAACUAUAUAAGUAACAUGCUAGGGCUUCCAUUAGGGGUUUUUGGGGAUAUUAUUGUAAGUCUUGUAAGACUUGAAACACCAUAGUUAGGUCUUGAAAAAGCCACCAACCAAAACAAGGGAAAGAUCUAGUGUGGAAUUACUAGUGAUUAUGUUUGCUUGGAAACAUUGAUGCUUGGGAGGUGAAAUCUGAACUUGUAUCUUUGUAAGAGAUAGGCUUAUUAUUGUAUGUAGUGUUAAGGUUCCAAUAUUGUCCAUUCUUGGGUUCUUAAUAUUAUACCUUCAUGUGGUCUAUCUAUCUAUCCUUUUACCUUCAUUUAAUCUUGUCUAUUGUUGUGUUGUAAUCUUGUGUUCUUGUUGUUAUUGUUAAAUUCAAAUCUUGUGUAUUCUUGUUCAUCAUAUAUUAUGGUUAAUCUUAGUUUGAACUGCUGAUUUGGUGUCAAAUACACCACUAUAUCUUGUAAUCUUAUUAUUGGUAGUGAAUUCGAGAGUGGUUUCCCUCUUGGUCCUCGAAUCCUUAAGAUUUGUGGACUGAUUUGGAGUGUUUUUCGUGCCUUCCUUGUUAGUCUUGUAUCAUGCAUUCUUUAAAGCAUAGGUGGAUUUCAUACUUGCAUCACAUCAAACCACCUAAAGUUCAUGUUUUUGAACUAACAACCACAUAUAUUUCAUGAAAACAUCUUUAGAUAUCAUUUUGAAACUUAAACAACAAUCAUCAAUAUGUACAUGCUUAAAUCACCACAAAAAGUUUAAAAAAUAACAUUUAAAAACAUGGUUCUUGAGCUCUAUGAACAGAUUGGAUCCAUAGAUGAACACUACACAUACCUUAGAUUAAGAAUUCGUAGAAUCUACGGUUGAAUUUGCUUGAAGCUUGAAACCUCAAUGGAAACCCUAGACUUGUUCUUGACUGUUCUUGAGUGAAUUUUGAUAAAAUUAAUGAAAAGGGCUGCUUUGGGGAUUCAAUACUGUGUUUAAAGAGUAUAUAUAGGGAGGGUUUUGGGAAGUUACCAUAUUGCCCAUGAGAAGUUUAAAACAAAAACUGAAAACUACCCAAAAUUUAUCCCGAUUUAGGGCCCUGGCGCGACGCGAAGCUUGGUAAAAUGCCAAUUAUUGCGACCUAGAAGCUUGGCACAAAGCAGGGUUAUCGCGGAGGCUUUCUGGAAAUUGACGAGUGCCAUUUUGGCUUCCGGCGCGACGCGCCAUGCACUGAAAUGGCAUUUGUCUUACAACAGAAACUUAAAAUAGCCAUAACUUCUUCACCGCGUGUCCGUUUUAGGCUAAUUCGGUAUCGACGGAAAGAUUAUUAAAUUAUAUAUCCAUUGGUAGGUUAUGGGAUCAAAAUUUCAUAGUAUAAUGAGAGAUAUUAUUGUUUGAAGUUGAAAAUACCAAUAUCCUUCUCAAGAAUUCAAUCGGUAAGGAAUGUUUUGAUUCGCACAAUAGCUAGGACAUAUUUGAGACCUUAAUUCACAUCAAACUUGAUCAUGAAACAACCAAGGAACCAUAAUGUACUAUGCAUAAGCUUGAAACAUGGAGCUAAUAUUGAGUUGGAUUUUUUGGGGUAUUACAGGAGUCGACUUCCAAACUUCUAGACCUUGGGAAGAGUACCAGCACUAGAAUAUGUAUGGUUUGGUUGGCUCUCAAUGGGUUCAAAUAGGAGGGCAUCAAGUUGUUUAAUCAAGUGUUCACCUACAUGGACUCCCUCCAGUCCCAAGUCAACUCCCCCAAUGAUGAUCUUGGUAUUUUCGUUCAGACCUCCUACUCUUCCUUCUUAAAAAAUGUUGAGAAAUCCUAUGACAAAUUCUAUCAAAAUAUGCAUAAUACCCUAACCUAAUUUUUGGCUAAGAGGUGAAUGAUGACUUUUUAUUCAAAAGGGGGUCCUCUUUCUUAUUUUUGAUGGGUUGUACAAUGAUAUUUGUAACACACUAUCUGCCACCUUUCCUUGUUUUGAUCUAGACCUUGGUACUUAAUUGGAUUAUCUCUAUGCUAUAUGAUUACUAUUCUUUCUGCUAUGUUGUUCUUUUUGAUUAUGCCAAAAGGAGGAGAACGACAAGAACCUACAAAUCAGCGGAAACAAGUUGACUAUCAAUGAUAAAGAGCCGACUGAUGUUCAAGGUACAGAAAAAUAUCAAAAUUAACUACAAAUCAGGGAGAGAAAGCCGACUAUUGUGACUAGGAAGUCAACUUAUGUUUAAUGCUUAUUUGUCAUUAGCAAAAAGGGAGAGAUUGUUAGCCUCCUAUAUUUAUGGUAUAUGUUUUAAUAAAACUAAUGAGUAGAAAUUUGUAGGAUAUUAAAGAUCUCUAAUGAUGGAAGAAGAGGAUAGUGAAGAUACACCAAAGAUAUAGAAUCUCUAAGGAAUCAAUUCAAGAUAUCCAAGAAUAUCUCGCAAGCAUCCAACAAUAAGAUGGUCAGCGCUAAACUUGGAACAAUAUCAAUCAUGCGGAAUCAAUUCAAGUCUCUAAGAAAAUCUCACAAAGGAAAGCAAACAUCCAACAACAAUCUGACAGGAGCAAAACGAAAGAAGAUCACAGAUGUAUCUGGUAUAGACAUGUAUAAGUAUCGUGUACAUAUCUGAUAUGGACAUACUAUACGGUAACAUUCCUCAAUCAAGAAAUCAAAUCAAAUCCUUGAUUGGGAUGAAAUAUCUUGGGUUUUCUUACGAAGAAAAAUGGCUAAAGAAUAUAAAAGAGAGGACUAAAGAUCGAAGCACUCACGCAACUUCAAGGAAGAAUCUCAAAGUCUCUAAAUCUUAGUCUCACAAAGCUUUGUACUUCUUAGUUUACAAUAGUUAUAUAAAGAAUAGGAUCGAGUAAACUUUGUAAUACAAGCUGAAGCUGUUUCACAAGAUCUAAAGAACAAAAUAAGUCUUCAAAACUUGUUUCUCAUCAUUGUACUCGACCCCAACUUUGAAAUAUCUAAGAAAACAUUGAAACCCAAGGGGGUUGGAAGUAGUCACCAUAUUGGUGUUCCGAACCAGGAUAAAUCUUCGUGUCUUUACUUUAAAGUUGAUUGUUUACUUGUUCAAUUAUUAAAUCUAAUUUAUUUUGUGAAGUAUACUGAUCUGCAGGCAAGUCGACUGUGAAGAGUCAAUAGUCGGCUCACAGAAAAUUUUCAAUUCACCCCCCCUCCCUUGAAUUUUAUGUAUUACCAUAUAUAAUGAAUGUCUAAUUAUGGAAAAGUUAGAAAAUUCAACUUUUGGAACAAAGUUAGUUUUCUCCUAUAAAUAAAAGGGUUUUUUUUUCAUUGUAAUAAACCCCACCAGAAUUCCUUAAAGAGAAAUACAGAUGCAUCCUCUCUUCUCUCUAUUUUUAUUUUUCUUAUUACUUAAUAUUUCAUAACAUAAUCUUACUUUUUUUCCACGACAAAUAAAAUAUGUAGCAGUUUUAAUAUUAUAGCCAUGUUGUGUUCUAUUGUGGCCAAAGACUUGAUUUGUUUGCUAUAAAAAUUUAAAAUUUGUGGCUAUUUUAUAUUUUAGUCUUGUGAUAAGAAUAGUUAUAUUUAGCUACAAGCUAGAAAAUCUAUAGCUAUAAAAUAAAGUAUAUGCCACAAAUAUUUUUGUACAUGGCUAAUUAUUCAUUCAUUUCUCCAUGAAAAACAUAAGUUGUAGCUACUUUUAAAAUUUGCUAUAAAAAGUAAAAAUAUACAACCCUAUUUAUUACAAUUAUAUAUAGGUUUAGCUAUAACUAUAAAGAUUUAUUUAUAUAAAUUGAAGAAUAUUAUCAUAAACAUUAUCAAAACAAGAAUUUUAUAAUGUAGCUGAAAAUAAAAGUAAAUUCAACAAUUUCAUUACUAUAAAUUAAAGAAUUUUUAUAAGCUUUUCAAUAAGAAGAGUUACGUAAUGUACCUACAAUUUUAUUUUGGGGAUUUCAAAAUAAUUUUAAAAUUACAUAUAAUAACGUUUUAUAAUUUUGAGAAUAGUCGCAAUAUAGAAUUAUUUAAGACACCAUCUUGUUGUACUUCAAAGAUACAUAGUCUUCUCUCAUCUCUCCUUUUGAGGUAUUCAACUGUACCUCAGUUCUAGUUUGUCAUUUUAUCUCUUAGUCCAUCAAUAUGACUAUUAAUAAUGGUAAAGUAUUUCAGCACCACGAAAAUUAAGACAAACUAAUUAUAUAUGCAAGUGUGUGUAUCUAUAGAAUUUCAAGGGCAACAAGUAUAUGUCUUAAGUAAUUCUUUUACUACUAAAAUUUUUAACAAAUUAAAAUAAAGAAAAAUGUAAUGCAAUCAAAGAAGUAAACAAAUGUGUAGACUUUUUUUUAACUUCAUAUAAGACAUGUAGACAUGAAUUUCAUAUUUCAAUAUAACAACAAAAACAUAUUCAGUGUAAUUUCACAAGGAAAGAUGUCAAAUCUCAAUAUCAAUUUUAAAACCCACGAGAACAUGCUAUUACCUUUACAAUAAGAAAAAUAUAUAUAAUCCAACAGGAUACUUAUAUUGUAAGACUUAUUCCAUCUACUUGGAGAAUUACAACUAGUAAAAUCUACCAAAAAAAAAAUAAUCAGCAAUACAACAUAAAAAUUUUAAAAUCAAAUUAAAAAUUGAGAAAAGAAAAGAAGGGGGGAGGGGGAGGGAGGAAAGGGGCCUGGGUGUUUGUUAAGUGGAAAGGGGCAAUAGAUUAUUUAAUUGGGUUUAAGGAAAUUUGGAGGAAAUUUUGGUCCUUUACUUUUUAUUUUUUGGGGGAGAUUUUGGAGUUUUUGACAUAAAUGGGUGUGUGUGGUGACUGAUAUUAGAAGGCCAAAUGACUUUUAAUAUCCUUAACCUAAUAGCAAUACGUAAUAUACUAUGACGUGCAUAUUUUUAUUUUAUUUUUAACAAAUCUAUUAGUACUACGAAUCUAUCGAAUAUAAUAAAGAAAAUUAUCUAUGAACAUAAUAAUAAAUAUAUACUUUAUUUUAAGUUAAUGGAGAACGCUAAUUAUUUAUAUUAAAAAAAAUAUUAUUCUAAAAUAUAUUCUUCCUUUUUCAACUUUAUAAGGCUAUGUUUUAUCUACUCUUCCAUUUUAAUAAAUUCUUAACGUAAUAGUGUGUAAAUUUAUGAUUAAUUCAAAUAAUAUUUUUUAGUUUGAAUUAAAAUACAAAAAUUAUACGAAUUCAAAUUAUUUUUUUCUACUUUUGAAGUAGGAGUAAGGUAUGUUCAUAUUCUACUCUCCUCAAACUUUACUUUGUGACUACAUUGGAUACCUUAUUAUUGUUAUUUUAUAUAAAUUAAAAUGAUUUAUAUGAAUUAAAAUGUCAAGUCUAAACUAGAAAAUUUUUAAAUACAAUAAAUUGUCAAUAUCAGAAAAUAUAUCUACUACAUUUAUAUAGCAAAAUGAAGAAGCAAAAAAAUAUUUGUAAUGAAGAAGGUCGAUUACCAUAAUAUUCAAGUCUAAAAAUUAUUUUAAGAUGAAAAUUUCAAAAAGAAAAUGUCAAUUCAAUUUCUUUUUUAUAGGAAUAACGUGAAUCAAAAGUCAUAGUAAAAUACUCUAAUAUGGUGGAAUCAUUUAUUUUAAUUUAAAUUUGAACAAGAAUAUGAAUUUUAAAUUACUUAUUUUAGUUUGAAUUGAAAAUAUAAAAUUAUAUGAAUUUUCAAAAUAAGUAGUAUGAAUUAAAAUGCCAAGUUUAAAAGAGAAAAAACAAAAAUAAAUAAAAAUUGUCAAUAUUGAAAAAUCUAUCUAAUUUCAUCUAUAUGUAAUAGGAGAUGAAAAAUAAUAUUGUGAUGGCAAGUGUAAUCAUCAAAAAAAUUCAAGUUUGAAAAUCAUUUUAUGAUAGAAUUUUUUUUUUUUUUGAAAAAAUGUCAAUUCAAUUUAUUUUUAUAUCAACAACAUGAAUUCAAAUUUAAACUAACGUGUCUCACUAUAUUAAACCAUGGUUCCAUAACACCCAAAUUAUCUCAAUUUGAAUUUAAAUAAAGAUAUGAAUUUUUAAAUGUACUUUUUUGGUCUGAAUUCAAAAUACAAAAAUUAUAUGAAUUAUAUAGAUCAAAAAGUUAUGUUUAGAAUAAAAUAUUCAAUAAUGAAAUAAAAUAGUCAAUACUAGAAAAUUUAAGAAAAGAAUUAAAAUGUAAUAUCCCUUUAUUUAUUGGUGUGUGUAUUAAUUAUACUGACUAAACAAUUGACUAAUCUAUUUCUAUUCUAGACUAGCUCAUAUUACAUAUUUUAUCGAAUAUGACAUGGUUUAGCAAAACCUCAAAUAAUAAAUAAAAAACUCAUUUGUAUAUUAUUCAUGAUAAAAAUACAGAUAAAGAAGGGAGAUAAAUAAUGUAAAGAUAAUAUAAUGCGAAUUAAUUUUCUAUAAAACAAAACAAAGUAAAUAUGUAUAAAUUUAAUAUAUUUAGAAGAGCCAUAUACCAUUUGCAAUUAUUAUGGCUCCUUAAUAAUGUUUGUGCAUCACAUAAAUUCAAAUAUACAGAUAUAUAUAAUAUAUAUAUAUAUAUAUAUAUAUAUAUAUAUAUAUACAUACAUACAAUUAUUGAAGUUUUUUUAAAUACUUUUUAAAAAGAAAGUUCUUACAUAUAAAAAAAAAAGAAUAUGCACUUAAUUUAAAACUAUAUAGUAUCAAGUAUACAUAACUUUCUUUACAACUUCUAAAACAAGUUUAAUUGUACAUUCCUUUUUAGAAAAAGUACAAUUAACAUUCAUAAAUAAUAUCUUGCAAUAAGAUAAAAUAUCAACUUGAUAUGUAUAAGAAGUUAGGUGAAGAUUGAGCUUAAAAGUAGGAGUAUUACCCUUUUUUGUAUUUUAAUUUUAUUAUAUAUAUAUAUGUUUAGAUUUUUAUAUUUUCUCUCUCUAUAUAUAAUAUCUAUUUAUUUAAAUUAUAUUGAAAAUUUAAAAGUAAGAUCAUAUAAAAUUGAAUCAAGUCAAAUGAUUAACAUCUCUAAUUAUACUAAAUUUUUAUAAGUAUUUUCUCAAUACAUCAUGUGCAAAUCAAACAAUAACUCUUAAAGUAUUUGGUCGGAAUAAAGUUUAAAUGAUACUUGUUGAAUUUUUUUUAAAAUUUGAUCUGAUCAGUUAAUUGAAAUAAACAUAAUCAAAUAAAUUAUAUUUAAGACUUACAAGCUGUAAAAUUAAAUUAAAUCAAACGAUAAUACCUUAAAUCAUGUUAAAGUGAUAAAUAUAUUAUUUGGGUGACCAAGUUCGAGCCAAGUAACAAUUCUGAAAGCAUUUGAUCAAAAUUAAGCUCCAGUAAGACUUGGUGAAAUUAUAUCUACAUUCAACGUAAUUAGUUAAUCAAAAUUAAUUAGAAGUCCCUAUUUAUUGAAAUUAUAUUUAAAAUUCACAAGUAAACUUAUAGUAUUGAAUUGAAUCGAAUGAUUAACAACUCUAAUUACACUAAAUUAAUAUUACUAUAACAAGUUUUAGCUCGUGGUAAAAGUUAAUUACUAGCUACAAAAUUUUAUAAUAAUAUUAAAUUUGUGGCUAGAUCAUUUCGUCAUGGUAAAUAAUUACUCUGCCCAUUUCAAAUAAGUGAUAUUUUAAUAUUUUUAAAAAAAUUCCUAAAUAAGUAGUGUUUUAGAUAAUCAAGAAGACUUUAAUAAUGCUCUUCCAAUUUUAUCAUUCUUUAAUUGAAUAGAAUUUUACAUAACUAAAAAACUAUUAAAGAGUUACAUCCUCUUCAAGGUAUUUAUAAAGAAUAAGUGCUUUCAAUUUUUUAGGAAUGAUUGAUUUCUCCAUAAACUUGGAAUUUCAGGCAUAUUACUCUUUCCUAAUUUCUAACUUGUUAAAAACAUAUAUUUUAAAGUGUUAUUUGUAUGGUAUUGAUGUUGGUUUUGAAACAUGGGUUGAGGGUUUUGAAUAACUGUUGUUUACGUGAUGUUUCAUGUUUGUCCUAGUAUGGGUUACAUUUAAAUGGUGGUUUUAAAAUAAAUUUGAUUCAUGGAUAUAGUAAAUAAAUUAAGGGAUUGUGAUUUCCCCAAACUUGGAAUUUUUAAAGUGGUUAUGACCUCAACCCUAUAUUGUGAAAUUAGUCUUUGAAUAUGAAGAGUAUGUAUAUUGAACUACUCUUGAACUAUUGUAUAAAGUAAAAAGUCAAUAAAGCAUAAUGGUUUUGAAAUCAAACCUUAUAGAGUUGUAUGAUUCCCCAAGCUAAUGUAUAAUUGAACUGGGAGGAGGGGGCUAUGAAUUCCUUAAUUUAUGAAAUUAUUUCGGCAUGUUGAUAUUACCUUGCAAGUGUAGUUGGUAUGAUGGUACCAACAAUGUAUGCCAAAAUGUGUAUCAUGAUUCAAUGAAUGAGAAUGUUGAUAAUUGUUUUAAUUAGGCUUUAGUGAGGGGUAUGUAGCUGAGUCGUGAAAGUAGAGGUCUCAAGGGACCAAUGCUAGAAACCAUGAUUGUCGACACAGGGGUUUAUAUGACCGGGUGGUUCGAGUACCUCUUAUUAUUAUCAUAUGAUUGGGAGGUUUGAGUCCUCUAUAUUAGAUUACAUGAUUUGGUGCUCAAGUUACCUUAAAUGCUGGGAGGUUCUAGUCCCCUAUAGUGCAUAUGUAUACCCUCUGGUUCGUGCGGCCAUACGCACUGAGUCCCUACCAGUUGGGGAAGAGAUGGACCCAUAUAGCUCGUGGGUGCCUUCUUAUUUUAUGACGAUUGAGCUACACAAUCAAAGCCAAAGUUUUAAACUGCAUGCUAAACUUUUUUCCCUAACCCAACACGUGAAGUAAAGUAGAUACAUGUAUUUGCAUAUGAUUAUGUGAAUAGGAUUUUGGAUUGGUGUAACACCCCGUACUUUUGGGCUAGAGUCUAGACCGUCGUUCCUAUGCGUAUAGAUCCGAACUAGAUAAUAUUUUAUUAAUAUAUGUGUGGUUAUCAAUCCUAUAGUGUGGGAAUAUCUUUGAAUAAGAAUUGAAGUUACAAAAAUCCCCUAACUCUAAGACGAGUUGAAAACAUUUCUAGCCAUUAAGUUUCAAUGGAUGUUUAAACUUGGGUCAACUUCUAUCGACCAUAACUCCUUGUAUAUAUCGAAUUAGAGGGCCUACUAUUUAUAAAAUGAAAGGUCUUUGAAGUAGCUUUCCAACGAUACCAAUUUUACCAAAAUUCAAUACCCGAGCAAUAUGUUACAACCAUUUUCGUGAGAGAGGCAGUAGAUGUGCGUGAUUAGAGUGCGACGCAUGCUCCGUCGUAUACACCUAAUUUUCAGGUUCUGUUUUUGCAUUUUUAAGGGCAAUUUAGACCUUUACCUCACCCAAGGUCUGUCUAUGACAUAAGAUUCACGCCCCAAAAGCAUAAUACACGAUAUAAUUCAGUUUUUCUCUCAAAAUAAAACCUUAACUCCUUCCCCAAAGAUCAAAAAACUCAUCCCUAAGAUCAAGAAUUCUAAGAAAAAGAUUAAGACCUAGGUUCCAUUUUUCUAACUACAAAAUCUAAAGUACGCCAGGUUUAUCCUAAACUACAUGGGCUUGUUAAAAACUUUCUAAUAUGAUUUAAAGGCUAUCAAGCAUGAAUUUAGAAAGGGGUUUUGGAACCCAUGAUUUUAAUUAUGCUUUCUGAAUGUUUUAGAGAUAUUAUUGUUUUGGCCUUUCGGUCUUUCCUCCCCCACCCCCUUAAAUUGAUUUACAUGUAUAUAUAUAUGUAUGAAAAAUUGAGAUUGAAGAUUGUUUGAGAGCACAAAUUAUGAAAUCCCCCUAUUGUGUUGAAUUAAAAUUUAUGAUCUUGUCGGAAAAGAGUUGAAAAACAUGUUUUAUGAUUCGAAAGUAGUUUUUCUCAAUGUCAUAGUAUUUGAACAUGAUUUAGAGAUGAUGAGUGAGUGUUUUCUUGAUAUAAUUACAUUUUGUGUUAAAGAGAAAGAAUUGUUUAUGAAUGAGAACUUUAACAUAACCACCUUGUAUUAUUGACAAGUUGAUCAAGAAAGUUGCUUGCAUGGUUUUACCUGAUUUAUAAGAGAGGAUUCUUUGAUUUAAUUUAUUAAUAUAGUGGUCCCAAACCUUAUGUUUUAAAAAAAAAGAUUUUAAUAUGUUAUUAAUGGCUUAAAGAUGCGACUUGCAAAUCAAUAGUAUGAUGAUACAAUAUAGAUGUAUGCCAUAACAGAGUUAAGUUUUUAGAGUUUGAUUUCAGAGAAUAUGUGUUUUAAAGAGUUAAAAAUGGGCCUAAAGAGGGCUAGGUGGUUACUCGAAGAAGGCAUGAGUCAAUCAACUCAUUGCCUAAAACCAUAUUUUGUCGACACGGGUAUAUUAUUAUUGUACACUGGCGACGGCCCUGUGGCUUAGUAGAGACAGAGAGUCUGACCCUUGCAGCAAACUUGGGUUGGGGGCUUGGCUACUGAGUUAACGGUAAAUUCUAUAUAGCCCAUGGAAUUUCAGAGUUAUAGGGUACCACCUAGCGCAAAAGUAAAACAAAGAGCACGUCACAGAGUUCAGAUGAUUUUAUAGAGUCUUAAAUAUGCCCAUGUGAUUCUUAACAUAUGGUAUAUUUAUGAACUAUUUUAAAUUUCUCUCAUAUAUGUUGAAUAAAAAUUAUUAUUUUGGAUUUGCUAUGUGUACCAGUACAACUGUAUUGACCCCCUGAGGCUUAAUCUACAGGUCCGGCUAAGUUGUAGAGAUUUCAGAGAGAACAGACUGUGAAGUGGUGAGCCUUCUUUACUCCAGAAGGCCUGUUUAUUCUAGACUAUGUUAUUUAUUUUAUUUUGGGUCUACUGGGGGCCUUGUCCUAGAUUUAGACAUUUGAAAUUUUAGCAUGUAAUAGAGAUUUCGCAGACUGGUUUAGAUAUUGUCUAGAGUUGUUGGAUUUUAAAUUUCUUAUUAUUAAAUUAAGUUUAGAGUAUGACCAUGAUUAUGUAUUAAGUUAUAUUCCCACAUCUUCCUUUAUUAUAUGAAUAUUGUGCAUGACUGUUGAUAGAGAAGGACGUUCGGGCCUUCAUGGUUCGGAAUGCUCUUUAUGGCUAGGGCCUUAGGUCGGGUCGUGACAAACUUAGUAUCAGAGCACGUUUCAUAGUCCUAGGGUGUCUGCGAAAUUGCAUCGGGUAGAUUUUUAUUUAUGAGUGUGUAGCGCGCCAUACUUAUAAGUAAGAGGGUACAAGGCAUUUAAGAAUGUCUCUCUUUCUUUAUGUUUUAAUUCGUGCUAUGGAGUCAGAAUAUUCCUCUUUCAUACUCUAGUUCGUGCUAUGGUAUCACCCAUACAAAAGUAAAGUUAUCCCAAUUCUUUCCUUACUCUGAUGUUCUCAGAUAUGUCUCAUUAUUGAGGUGAUUUAAGUGCAGAAGUCUAAAAUCAAAAUGGUAUUGUCCUUUUUGAUUGGGUCAUAAAAGAUUAUAACAUUGUACAAAGACUUGAGAAGAGACUGUUAGUUCUCUAAUAUGUAUUGAUUCUGAUGUAAACUUUGAUCCUAAUGAAAGCAUGCUUUUCAGCCUGAGGUAUUAAGCGCAUCUAGUCCCUUUUAAAAUUCUUGUUAUAGCUGUCAUGCAUAAGGGUAAUGAUGUGUAGUAGAUUGUUGGAACUAUAUUUCCACCCGAGUAGUAGUGCAUGUUAAAGUGUUAGGACCUAUUGGUAGUGUGAUGAUCUAGAAGUUGGUGAUAUAAAGUGACAAGGUUAGCAGUUAGAGUGAGGGUGAUUUUUAUUGUUUAGUUGUAUGAUCAUAGAUUGAGGAGUGGGUUACCAUUGUAUAGUGAUAGACUAAUAUGGUAUAAUGAUAGACUAAUGUGUAACAGUAUUUGUAGAUUGUACGGUUGUAUGUGAAGUAAGUGACUGGCUAUGAUUUUUUUAUUCAAAAUAGGGAAAGCCCCCAGAGUGGAUAGUUAUGGUGGUCACAGAAAUUCCUUAUAGGCUGUGAAUGAAAACGAUUAGAUUAGCCAACAAUUUAUAAGUAUAGACUCAUUGUUGUAUGUGAAAUUUGAAGGUAGUUUAAAGGUAUGCUUGGGUAAGUAAGUAUGAUGUGAGAAAGUAGAAUGCGUUGAUAAGAUCGUAUUAGGUUAUAAUAUAAGAUUAAGGUUGACCCUGUCUAUUAUGUGUCUUUACCCCCUUGAUCUCCUUUUCUUUAGUGGUUGUAAGCUAGUACUUCUUAUGAGAAGGUAUGUAGUGAAUUUUAAUGUUGUAAUAGUGAUAUCAUGGAGGGGUUGUGAUUGUAGGUAGUAGUUAAAGGAAAUGAGUAUUUUGAGUUUAUUUACCAAUUUGAUGGGCUGGUAUAAUAUGUUGCAUGCUUCACUGGUGGUACGUGAUUGUUGCUAGAUUAUAGGCCUGAACUUUAGAUGUAAAAUAUGGUGGUAAGAAUAGUAACUUAAGAUUAAUGAUGUAUAUUUAUGGGAAUGAAUUAGUAGGCUUGUUGUGAUUUGUGAAAGAGACUAGAUUGAUAAUUGAUGAAAAGUUUAACUGGUAAUUGUGAAGGUAUAUGUGUAUAUGAGGACUAGUGUUAAAAUGAUGAAUUGUGGGUGAGUCAUUAAGUGGAUAAGGGAGUAAGUAUAUUAGAAUGAGUUGCACCCCCUAGUAGUAUGACGUUAGGUAAGAUUUUAUGCUAUGAGUUAUGUGAUUAAUGGUCUAUUGUUGAAGGUUAAGUAGUGGAGAGUGGAUUUUUAUGUGAUAAGGAGUAGGGAUGUGUAUGUAUGCUCAUGAGACUGUGAGUUUUUGGUUGAUGAUAAUUGAGGAUAGCAAAACGUAAGAGUAGCAUUGUGGGAAAACAAUGCUUUUAGAGUAUACGUUAAGUAGUCAUAACACCCCAUAGUUUUCUCGACUUGAUGUAACUUAGUAGCAUGCUUAGAGGGAUGACAACUUGAAUCAUCCUUUUUUUCUAAGUGUUAAAGAAAAGGACUUAGUCACAUUUUGAGCUCCCAAUCUUUGAUGAUUUUAUUUUUGACCUUUCCGGCCUAAGUCGAUUUGUGAGUUGAUUUAUGAUUAGGGAAGUCAAUAGUACAUCCCAUGUGAGUUUUGGAAUUUUUGGACAAGUGUAAGGGCAUGUUUGGAGGUCCAAAAUAGUAGCUGCAUGCAAUUUGUACACCACGUACACUUCAGUCUACACCUAAGUAGCAUGUGAUGGAGCAUGCGUCAACGCCCCAUUCCGAGGUUCUACAGCGUGCAAUGCACGCUCUCCUUCAGGCUUCAGUUUUCAAUUACAUUUUUCCAGGGGAAUUUGGGGUCAAUUCCGCCCAUAUUAAUUUGUCCUAAACAUCGAAUUUGAGUAGCAAAGCAACACUUUAGCCCCAAAUUCACAUUCUCCCUAAAUUGAAAUCAUCUUCCCUUGCCAAGAAUAGAAAUCCUAACUCUUAAGUGUUUAGAAGUAUGGAUGUCCAUGCCUAUAAUGAUGUUAGUCAUAAGGGGAUGAUUUUGGGGUUAGAGGAAGUUAUGAUUAGUAUCCCUGAAGGGGGAUGUCCCAGAAGAAAUCUAGUGUCUUUUGUUAAAUUAUUGAGAGAAGUUUGUGUUCAUGUGUAUACCAAUAUUCCCUAUUGUAUUGAGAAUUGUGGUUACAGAUUGAUGAGAUGUUAUGUUCUCCAGUCUAGGAUUGUGACUUUGAUCUAAGGGGGAGAUGGUGAGUUAAGGUAGUUUCCAAAUUUUUUUUUUCUCAUUGUGGAAAAUUAGGGAGUUAUGAUAAACCCCUAUUCAAGUAUGUUCCUCCUACUUCAGUUUAAGAAUUCAUUCUACCAAUGUUUUAUGUAUUUGAGUCCUACCUAUGCCUAUGGUUUAAGCUCUCUAUGUAACUCAUGUAAUGUUUCGACCUCCAAACUAGAAGAAAUAAUAUCCCUCAGUGAUCCAACAUUCAAUCUAUUCAAACUCUAUGUUAUGUUGUUCGUGAUCCAUGAAAAUCUAUGUCUCUCAGCAUGUUCUCCUAAGAAAAUAUGUUUCUAUAUGUUGCAGAAUCAUUUUAUGCCAGAAUUAGCCAAAGUGUUAAAGUUUAUGCCAACUCAUGGAAAAAUUUUAGCUCUUUGAAUGAAGAGCAAUUACUUUAAGUGAAAUCCUUACCUUAGUUGCUAACGACAUAAAUUUUGGCUUUAUGCCAUAUAGCUCAUGAUAUGUUCAUCCAUGUUUCUUAUUUUGGUUUGUCUUAAGGAAACCAUAUGUGUUGUGUUCGUGCUGAACGACCUUUUACUUAUGAUCCAGACACUUGAUAUCGAAAGCACUUUCAUGUCUAUCCUCGAAUAGUGCAAUAAGUAUGAGUGAUGGUCGUAUAAUGUUACUUCUAUUCAUGAUAUUUAUGCUUGGGUCCCUUAAUGACCCUCCAUAUGUUAAUAUAAUGGUGGUUGUAGAGAUGUAGCAGUGUGUUAGGUAUGGGAGCAGAUAUUCUUGAAGGUGAGAAAUUUGACGUAAUUCUCGAGCUGAGGUUUUAGGUGAAAAGAAAAGAAGGAGAUGAACUUUUGUUGUGUGAAAUAGCUACGAAGGAGAUAUAUGGCGAAAAUAGUUUUGAGAGUGAUUGGAAUUGCUGGUCUUAGUAGGGAGAUCCAUGUAAUGAGGUCUAGUAAUGAUUAGGCUUGAGUGUUUUGAUUGGUGAAAACACAAACCUAUGUGCCAUAUGGUUAGUAUUCUUUGAAUUAAGACUUGAGAUUGUUAGAUUAUAGUGAUGAGGUGAGGUGAUUUCUUAAUGUGAUGCAGAGUGCAGGGUCUCGUAGUCUAAAUUAUCUCCUCUUUCCUUUGAGUUAGGCUCGAACAUAGAAGUAUUAUACAGAGGGACACAAAUUCUUGUAGUUAGAUGUGUUAUGGGAGAAUUAUAAGUUGGAAAUGAUGAAGUAUGUUGAUUAAUGUUGGGGUAUAGAUAAGUAGUGUUGCUAAGUUUAAGUUUUUUUGUUGUAUCUUGUAAGAUAAAGAAUGCUAACAUUCAUAUGUUCCAUGAGAAGCUUAUCUCAUAUCAUGUACCAAUCUUAAUCAGGCCGAGGACUCUUAGAAAAAGUUAUGUUUUACAAUGUUUUUAUCAUGUGCUAUAACACAUGCCAAGAUCAUGUAGAUGUUAAGUUUCGUUAUCUCAGGUUUCGUGCUUACCCAUUUCCCUGGGGGUUAUCAUAAAGAUCGUGUGAUGCCUUUGCAUAUUUUUGUUGAGAAAAAAUGUUCAUAUCAAUAUUACAUUAUUUAUUCUACACUUUUAUAGCUUCAAAGAGUACCUACCCAUCAUUCGGGGAUGAAUGAUCCCAAGGGGGAGAUAAUGUAACACCCUGCACUUUCGGGCUAGAAUCUAGACCGUCGUUCCUACGUGUAUAGACCUGAACUAGGUAAUUUAUUGUUAAUAUAUCUGUGGUUAUCAAUCCUAUAGUGUGGGAAUACCUUUGAAUAUGAAUUGAAGUCACAAAAAUCCCCUAACUCUAAGACGAGUUGAAAACAUUUCUAGCGAUUAAGUUUCAGUAGACGUUUAAACUUGGGUCAACUUCCAUUGACCAUAACUCCUUGUAUAUAUUGAAAUAGAGGGCCUACUAUAUAUAAAAUGAAAGGUCUUCGAAGUAUCUUUCCAAUGAUACCAAUUUCACCAAAAUUCAAUACUCGAGCAAAACGUUACAUUCAUUUUCGUAAGAGAGGCAGUAGCUGUGCGUGAUUAGCGUGCGACACACGCUCCAUUGCACACACCUAAUUUUCAGUUCUAUUUUCGUGUUUUAAGGGAAAUUUGGACCUUUACAUCACCCAAGGUCCAUCCAUAACAUAAGAUUCACACCCCAAAAGCAUAAUACAUGAUAUAAUUCAGUUUCCUCUCAAAACAAAACCCUAACUCCUUCCCCAAAGAUCAAGAAACUCAUCCCUAAGAUCAAAAAUUCCAAGAAAAUGAUCAAUACCUAGGUUCCAUUCUUCUAACUACAAAAUCUAAGGUACGUGAGGUUUAUCCUAAACUACAUGGGCUUGUUGAAAACUUUCUAAUAUGAUUUAAAGGUUAUCAAGAAUGAAUUUAGAAAGGAGUUUUGGAACCCAUGAUUUUAAUUAUGCUUUCUGAAUGUUUUAGUGAUAUUGUUGUUUUGGCCUUUCGGCCUUAACCCCCCCCCCCCAAAUUGAUUUACAUGUAUAUAUAUGUUUGAAAAAUUAAGAUUGAAGAUUGUUUGAGAGCACAACUUACGAAAUCCCUCUCUUGUGUUGAAUUAAAGUUUAUGAUUUUGUUGGAAAAGAGUUGAUAUACAUGUUUUAUGAUUCGAAAGUAGUUUUUAUCAAUGCCAUAGUAUUUAAAAAUAUUUUAGAGAUGAUGAAAGAGUAUUUUCUUGAUAUAAUUACGUUUUGUGUUAAAGAGAAAGAAUUGCUUGUGAACGAGAACUUUGACAUGACCACCUUGUAUUAUUGAAAAGUUGAUCAAGAAAGUUGCUUGCAUGGUUUUACCUGAUUUAUAAGAGAGGAUUCUUUGAUUUGAUUUAUUGAUAUGGUGGUCCCAAAACUUAUGUAUUGAAAAUAGAGAUUUUGCGACUUGCAAGUCAAUUGGUAUGACGAUACCAUAUAGAUGUAUGCCAUAACAGAGUUAGAGUUUUUAGAGUUUGAUUUCAGAGAAUACAUGUUUUAAAGAGUUUAAAAUGGGCCUAAAAAGGGUUAGGUGGUUACCCGAAGAAGCCACAAGUCAAUCGACUUAUUGCCUAAAAUCGUAUUUUGCCGACACAGGUAUAUUAUUAUUGUACGCCGGCGACAACCCUGUGAUGUAGUAGAGACAGAGACUCCGACCCUUGGGGCAAACUUGGGUUGGGGGCUUAGCUUCUGAGUUAAUAGAAGAUUCUAUAUAGCUCGUGGAAUUUCAGAGUUGAAGGGUAUACCACCUAGCUCAGAAGUAAAGCAAAGAGGAUGUCACAGUCUUUUAAACAUGCUCAUGUGAUUCUUAACAUAUGAUAUAUUUAUGAACUAUUUUAAAUUGCUCUCAUAUAUGUUGAAUAAAAAUUAUUAUUUUGAAUUUACUUUGCGUACCAGUACAACUGUAUUGACCCCCUAUCUCUUAGGGUCUGAAGCUCAAUCUAGAGGUCCGACUAAGCAGUAGAGAUUUUAGAGAGAAGAGACUGUGCAGUGGUGAGUCUUCUUUAUUUCAGAAGGCCUGUUUAUUCCAGACUAUGUGUAACAUCACGUAUUUUGCUUGUACUUGUUCUAAUUAUAUGGAACUUGUAGCCUUUUGAUAUAUAUAACGUAUGAGAAUUGUUAUGCAAGUAUUAAUGGUAUAGAUGGAAUUAUAGAUGCUGCCCAUACAGUUUAAUGUGAUGUGACUAAGUUAACAUUAAGAUAACUAUUUAAACUUGGAAUCGUAACCUAGUAUUUGAAUCUAAAGUUUAAAGUGACCAAGUAUGUAUAAGUUGAAGGUUAGAUUAAAGGGAUUAGGAGCUAAAAAUGGAGCAAAAUAUUGAGAUGCUUGCUUGACUUAUUUAAGCUAGUACGUGAGUCACCUACUUAAGUUAUUUGGACCAAAUUAAUGGACCCAUGCCUAUGGAUCAGAUUUGGGUCUAUGCUAAUAUACUCAUUUGGGUCAAAUUGAACAAAAGAGAAAGAAAAUGGAUAAGUGGCCCAACACACCAAUCUGCCAAGGCCCAAAUAUAAUUGAGCCCAACAAGAAAUUAAGCAAGUAGGUGCAUCACCUACUUUGAAGUUUCAGCAGCUUGGACCCUUAAGUAGGUGCAUCACCUACUUGGACCAAUUUGACCAAUUUUAUGGUGCAAAAUGCAGCUAAGGAGGUGGACAAGAUAGGGCCUUUAAAAGGCCAAGUUGCUAGUAAUUUUACUUCACUUUUAAGUCACAAAAAAGGAGUAUAUUUCAGCAAAUCUCUCUACUCUCUCUAAAACAAAAAGAACAGCAAUCUUAUUUUUCCUUCUAGGGUUCUGGAAGAAACCCUCACCUUUGAAGCCCAAGGUAAGUGAAAAACACUUAAGGUUUUGUUUAAUUAUCUCAUGGAAGAUUAGAAAAAUAAGUUAUAAGUGUUUGACUAUAAGUAUAUGGCUGAUUAUAGAACAAGCUGUUUGUUCACGUUUCCUUGUUAUUGAGGAACUUUUUUUCUUCUUCUUUGGUUUAAGUGUGAAGGAAAGUUCAAGGUCCUGAAGAGUUUAAUUAAAAGAAUAAGUUGCUGAAUUGAGGUAAGGUCACUGCUCCAUUUUGUUUUUCUUAUAUAUGAAUUUGAGAAGGGAUUAUGGAUGUCUUGUUAUUGAGAACUCAAGAGAUGAUGAGUUCAAUAAUUGAUUGCUACAAUAAAAGGGAUUUGGGACUGUUUUGUGGAUUAUUUUGUAUGUAUAUGUUAUGGGCUGCCAGGUUGAAGUUGGAUAAAGGUGUGAUGAGUUUGUAAUGAAUUAUAGAANNNNNNNNNNNNNNNNNNNNNNNNNNNNNNNNNNNNNNNNNNNNNNNNNNNNNNNNNNNNNNNNNNNNNNNNNNNNNNNNNNNNNNNNNNNNNNNNNNNNNNNNNNNNNNNNNNNNNNNNNNNNNNNNNNNNNNNNNNNNNNNNNNNNNNNNNNNNNNNNNNNNNNNNNNNNNNNNNNNNNNNNNNNNNNNNNNNNNNNNNNNNNNNNNNNNNNNNNNNNNNNNNNNNNNNNNNNNNNNNNNNNNNNNNNNNNNNNNNNNNNNNNNNNNNNNNNNNNNNNNNNNNNNNNNNNNNNNNNNNNNNNNNNCGGGUUAGUUUCGGAGUCAAAUAACCAGGUAUGUAAGGCAUACUCUAUUUUACACGCUUUGGCAUGAAAUCGUACAAUUGUUCCAUCAAGCAAGUUUCCGAGGUUAUCCUAUAACAAGUGCUACAUAAUGGCAGUAUAUUACACUCCAUGUAUCCAAUGACCUUGUUCCCACUGUCUAACGCAUUAGAACACCUCAAUGCAUGCUUAUUAUUAAAUUUGUGCGUCUAUCUUCACUGCAAAAUUUUAGGAGUUCUCUGUUUGUUCAAAUAAGACCCAUGUGUUAUUUCAGCUCCUAAACACUUUAUUUGUGUGCCAACAGCUCUCUACCUCAUUGUUGUUGCAUUAAGUGUCUAUUUACAUGUCUCUGAUUAGCGUAUUACUGGUUUAAGGUACCAUAAUGUGAUGACCACCAAAGUAACAAUCUCAAAGGCUAAAUAAACUAAAUAUUGCAAAUCUGUAAAAUGAUAAGUGGCAGCUCAGGAGAAUUUUCCUAGGAUGGGCCGAUCUCGAUACCUUUAUUCGUAGGUGGCAGCUCAGGGGCAUAGCAUGGGCCGAUCCCAAUCUUUAUAUGUAGGUGGCAGCUCAGGGGCGUAAGCCUAGCAUGGGCCGAUCCUAAUUUAUCUAUUUACCACUGAUCAACUGGUCAUUUGCAUUAUAUGGCUUAAAAAGAUUAUGAAGUAAGAAGGUAAAAUGAAGAAAAUAAUGUAACGUACAUUGUCCCACAAGUAUUUAUAAAGGUGGUCUACUAGUACUACUUAUACACUUGUAUCAGAUUUCUAUUGAGCUUUUGUAUCAAGUGUGUUUUUACCUUUGGCCUUACAUAUUCAAUACAUAUUUUCGUACUGACGUCCCUUACGAGGGACCUGCAUUUCAUGCUGCAGGCACAGGUACUUUAGCUUGCUCAUACAACUCACUAGUAGGAGCGUAGGCUUUUCAGGGGCUAUUGAUGAGCUCCAGGUUGAUUUGGGGCUUUCCGAGUCUGUUCCAUAUAUUUUGGUAUUGUACAGUAAGUCAAGAGUAGGGCGGGGGUUUGUCCUGACCCUAACUAAGUCUAUGUAUCUUUUAGAGGCUUUGUAGACUAAUGUAAAGUUAUGGUAGUGUUUGGUCUUUAGAUGUGGUGGCCCCAACGGUCAAGUAUUGUAUAAAUCAGUUUGUGUUUGCAUAUGUAAUUAUUCUCAUCGAUAGAUAAUAUCAUUUUUGUUAGAACCUUUAGUUGUUAUAGUUAUAUGCAUGGGAAAUACAAGUUUCUGAAUUGGUCUCUCGGGCCUUUACGGCUACGAGUUCCUAUCCGCCCUAAUAGGAUUUGAGGUAUGACACUAUUUUAUUUAUUUUAUUUUGGGUCUACUGGGGUUCUUGUCCCAGAUUCAGACAGUUGCCAUUUUAGCAUGUAAUAGAGAUUUUGCAGACUGGUUUAGAUAUUGUCUAAAGUUGUUGGAUUUUAAAUUUCUUAUCAUUAAAUUGAGUUUAGAGUAUGACCAUAAUUUUGUAUUAAGUUAUAUUUCUGUAUCUUCCUCUAUUGUAUGAAUAAUGUGUAUGACUAUCAGAUAGAGAAGGGUGUUCAGGACUUCAUGGUUCAGAAUGCUCAUCACGGCCAGGGCCUCAGUUUGGGUCAUGAAAAUUAGUUUUGAAUUAAUGUUCAUGGCAUUAUUUUAUCCCCUAUCCCGGAGUUACAUGCUAGUGCUCCAACCACAAACCAUCUUCGUAUGCUAUAUUCCCAAGCAAUGCAGGUAUGAGAGUGAUGUAAGCUCAACUAACUGCACUCCUUUGGAUCGGUGCUUUAAGGAUCACAUCUACGAAUCCAAGACUUGGUCAUUUUAGGGGAACAAAUACGUGUAUGUAUGAUAUCUUAGAGCGCAGGAGAAGCCAUACUUGAUGAUGUCAUCCAAGAGAGCAUGGAAGAGAGCAUGGGCGCCCAUUGAGCAACACCGCAUUUGGAUGAUAGCUUGGGCUUUGAGAGAGUAUGGGCACCUAUUUGCAUUGUUUUGGCUCUUGGGUCACUUUUGGGCCCAAGUUGCAUUUAGUGUCACUUUUGGUCCCAAGUUGUAAUAAAGGUCUUUUGACCUAAAAAUAGCUAGGACUCUCUUUCUUCUGGGACUUUGAUGAUUAAUGAUGAUUUAAGUUGAUGAAUGAUAUGUUGAUAUAUACUUACGAAUGUGUUUUUAUUGAAAAUUAUUGGGAGUUACUUUGGUUGUUUAUAAAGGUGGGUGCUUGGGAAUCGAUUUCCACUGUGUUCUCAUAAGAGGUUGGUGUUAUCGAUAAUUUAUAGAAAGGUCUAGGGUUUAGUAUACCCUUGGUUGUCCUCUCAUUAUUGAUUUAUGUCAAUCUAUCUAUCUUUUAAUUUAUUGUUCCAUUUCCUUGUUUCCUUGUUUUUGUAAUUUUAUAUUUAGUGGGUUUUCUUUGUUUUUGUGUCGUUUCCAUUUUCAUAUUUUUGUCUCGUAUCAUGGAGAUACCUCUACUUUUCCUGCACAGAUUUAGGAAGAAUAGCUUGGUUCAUCGGUUCGUUUUGGUAAAGUGGUGAGCUUCAUUCUCCGGAAGACUUAGACAUUUCAUCCGUUAUUAUCACAGAUUAGAAUAAAGAUUUUUCAUUAUCAUUAACAUUAUCAUUUUUAUUGUCAUUUAUUAGAUUUGGGGACAUAUCCCUACUAAGAUUGGUUUUUGAUUCUUUUGUUAGUAGGCAGUUAAAACCUUGAGGUUUGCACCACACAGUGAGGGACCUAGUCCUUCAAAGUUAGUUGGAGGCAAUAAAUCAGUAAAGCACUAAAAAAGGUAAAACUUUGCUAAAAGUAAAGGAACACACUGAUUUAACAUGGAAACCCCCUUACCUAAGGAAGGAAAGACCACGACUUGCCCUCACAUACUCUCAUAAAUCCACUAUAAUCAACCUCUUGGUUACAGACUUGAUUUUGAACCUAACUCUAGGUUCAUCCUGCUUGUACUAACUCUACCACAAGCCUAACUUGACAACUCUGCCAAAACUCUCUCAACGCUAAUUAACUUUAACCAUUAUCAAGCUUAGGUAACUCUACCUGAGAACUCUCAAAGUAAAAAGGAAUUACUCUUAUAGAAUAAGUAAUUCAAUUACAAACCACAAUUAAACUCAAGAACGUUUUCACUGUCAGUACAAAAGGACUAAGAACUAAGAUUGAGUUUUUGCCUUUUUCUCUCUUCACUCUUUAGAAUUUGCAAAAACUACCAAUUGAGAAACAUUCUUUGCUUUUUAUAGUUGAAACAUCCUGGGUUUUGACCCUUAGAAAAUUUCCUAGAAUUCCAUUCUCCAAACCUAACACGACUCAUAGGUACGAGCUGUAUGUUGGGGGUACGAGUGGUAUGGUCCUAUAGUAUGUUGACCUAGUUGGUGGGAUAUUUUUGGUCACUAAAAUGGGUACGACUUAGGGGUAUGAGUAGUAGGGAUUGGUAUGAGUCGUAUCAAGGACUUAUAUGGUGGUCAGUGUUUGAUCUUCCUGAUAUUUCAUUUUUCCAGGGAUAUAGGUCUUGAUACAUAUUGUAUGUGGUUGUUAUGACUUUGUUGAGUGAGUUGUAUACUAGACAAUAUUUGAUCCAAGGUUUGAGGCUUGGAUACGAGUGAUGGGUACCAAUCGUAUAAGAGGAUACGACUCAUAUGGGUCAGUCAUAUCCCUGUGAUGAGGGUUUUAAGGGAUUUAAGUGGGGACAUUCUAGAUAUUUGCUUACUUAUCCUAACUAGGACCCAUGAAUUCUAAUGCACUUAGGAGGUUAUUUACCCUAUUAUUCUAUUCAUUAACACUUAGAAACUAUUCCAAAAUAUCUCAUAAUUCUCUCAAGAGCUUUUGGGGCAAGAAGGCUAGGGUUUUAUCUUAAGGAUUGCUUUGGGGCUUGUCUUGGUGAAUUCUUUCCAUUAAUUCUUUGGUAUAAGGCAUUAUUCUCUUUCCUUAUUGUAAUUUCAACUAAAGGCAUGGUUUAUAUGAUUGAUUUCAUUGUUUUACUAUUUCAUAAUUAUGGUUUCCAACUAUUAUUUGGGGGUUUUGAUGUUAAAUUCUUGGUUAUGGUUUCUUAUGUUUUAAUUAUGCUUUUAUAUGCAUUAAUGGUGGUUUUGGACAAUUAGAUUUCAUGGUAAUGGUUUAAUGGUUUUUAGAUUUUGUUUUAGCUAUAUUAUGUGCCCAAGGUUUUUGAUAAAAUGAUUAUAAAGAUAUGUUUAUUACAUUGAAUUCUUUUAAUGGAAGUCUUGCAUGUUUUAAACUUGGUAAAGGAACUAUACAUGGUUUAAAUGGUUUGAAAAUGCUAAAGACUAAAUGAUUAUGCUUGUGGAGAACAUUAAAGUCUCCCAAGUGGUUUAAUAUGGUAUAUGGAAAAGGCACUUGAAAGUCCCCUUAAUCUAAAUUGUUUAAAUAUGGAUAUUAAUUACAAGUAAUGGGGUGGUAUAAUGUACUACUACUAUUGGCCUUGGUUAAUAAAAUGGUAAAUAGGUUGGUUGGUUAUUUGGAAAUGGUUUUAAUUGGGCAUUAAUGGCGGGGUGUGUAGCAAAGCCGUGGAAGUUGGUGGUCCUGGGAGAACCAAAACUGGAAACUCAUAUUUACCGAUAUGAGGAUUGGUCUUAGUGGACCGUGUGUAUGAUGUCACACUAUUAGGGGAUGUACUAGCCAUCCCAUGGGAUAAUUCCCUGGUUGUGUGGCUACACGCACUGGGGCCCUUUCAACAGGAGGAGCUAAACCCAUAUAGCCCAUGGGUGGUUUAGGACGGCCAAGCUACAUAACCCAGGUAAGGGUUUUUUAUACAUCCUAAACCCGAUUCCCUUUCUCGGUACUUAUAUAUAUGUAUGGUUUUAUGCAUUAUGGAUGAUUUUACUUGGUUUUAUAACUGAAAUUAUUUUAUCCUUAUCCUAAGAUUCAUGGUAGUAGUCACUCGCUAACCCCAUCUACUAGCGACUGUAUACCCAUGCUAUGUAGGAACUAACUACUCUAUUCCUUCUAUUUAGCAUACGGAUUUGGUAUCAACAUUUGGACUGAAGUAGUGAGCUUCCAUCCUUCUGAAAGGCAUCAUUUCAUGUUAUGGAUUUCUUUAGACACUUUUAUUUUACUUUAGAUUUUGGUUUUGGCCAUGGUUGGGGGCAUGUCCCAACCAGAUUUGUUUACUCUUUUGGACAGAGGCUUUGUGGUACUUUUGGGGGUUUGUAUGGUCCGGAUCAAUAUUGGUGUUUGCCUUGGCAUCUGUUUUGGUGUUGGGGCUUACACCCUUAGACAAUAUUGUUAGUUGUUCCAUCCUAUUAAAUGUUGGGAUUAAUCAUAUUAUGUUUUGGUAUUCUCUUUGGUUAUGGCCUAUGGUUUGGUUUGUUAUGGUUGGGGUACGGUUGGACUCGGUUAGGUCAGUCAUGGUUGUGACCCUAUCCAGAGUCUUAAUAAGAACAUUUAUGCUAUCUGUUAUAUGUUUGAAAUUCAACCCAUCUAAGGCUGGAUAUACGUAGCUGGGUUGGGUAAUAGCAGCAGUCCCGGGUCCUAGUUGGACUUGGGAUGCCCAUUAUGACAAGGCCUAGGGUCAAGUCAUGUCAAGUUAGUGUUAGAGCCUAGGUUCAUGGUCACUUGGGAGUCCACAAAGUUGUGUCGAGUAGAGUCUCUUUUAGGGGUGUGAAGCGUGCCGCAUUUAUAAGAGAGAGGCUAUAAGACAUUUUGGAAUGUUUACCUUUUUGGUAUUCUAUAUUCAAGAUUGAGUUCUCAAUCCUGGAAUCCUAUCUAAUCCUUGUUUGUUCAUCUUUCAGAUCAUGCAUCCUAGAUCUGGAACAUAAGGAAAUGUUUUUGUCCCAUCUGGGGAUAAUGUUGAAGGGGUACGUCCUACGUCUGGAGUACAUCUUCGAUCUCAUGGUCCUAUUCCUGAUGGUGCUAGAGUUUCUCUUAUUUUGGCUAGUUUUCCUCAGGUCCCUUCGAACGCAGAAUUUUAUUAGUUUAUUCACUUUAUUGCCCAAUUGAUUGCUGCUCAGGCUAAGCGAGGUACGACUGGUGCUUUGUCUGCAGAGGCCACAAAGGUUGGUCAAUUCAUGAAGAUAGGUCCUCCAACUUUUACUGGAGUAAAGGUGGAGGAGGAUCCAUAGGGCAUCUUGGAUAAGAUCGAAAAAAUCUUUUAGGUGAUGUAAGCUACUAAUUGAUACAAGCUUAAAGAGCACAAGGAUUACAGGUCUUGUAGAAGGUUUGAGCUUUGGAUUGUCAAAGGAUCAAGUCUCGAAUUUGCAAGUACUCGAAGACCUUUUGGAACCAUUACAAAGCCUUGUGCAAGUGAAGAAAGGAGGAGGGUCCUUACACUAAAGAGGCGCCUUUUACUAAGGGUAUGAUGGACUUUUUACACUCCAAAAUAACACUCCAUAGGAGCCCCUUUUAUAAGCCCCUCAUUAAUGACAUUUUUGUCAUUUGGUUGUAAUAAGUAUAAAUAGGCACCUUAGCUCUUAUUUUCCUUAGUUUUGAGAUAAUGAAUUGAGUGACUUUUUAGAUUGUAAUCUUAGUGUUAGAUUGUAGUCUUUCUCUUCUCCUUAAGAGAGGGAAAACUAAAACUUGACCCUUGAUACAUUUGAAAUUGGUUUUCACUUGUCUUGGGUAAUUUGGUAAAAAAGGUAUUCUUGAAGAAGUGUGAGUCCUUUGGGUCACCUAAGAGGAAGGUUUGAGAUUACAUUGGUGAUGUGUUUUUGAAGGUUUGAUACACCUUCUAGUUCUAUUCAUUGGUGGAAGUAAAGGUCUUUCUACUAUCUUUACAUUUUAUGCAAUCUUCUUCUUCAUCCCCUUUCUAGUGUGUUGUUUUCUCUUUGUGUGCUUGCUGAUUAGUGUCAAUUUCAUGUAUAGCCUUUCUUUAGGCUAUCAUUUGGUAUCAAAGCCUUGGUUGGGGUUGUUCCAACAUCCCUAAAUCUUGCUUUUAGUGUUCUUAUUUAGAAAAUCUCAACAAAAAAGAGUCAAAAAAUCAGAAAAUACAAAAAAAAAAAGUGUUGUCUUGUGUGUUUGUUGUAGAUCCGAAUUUUCCAAGUUGGAUCUACAAGUUGUUAUUGUGUUUUGAAGGUUUCUAGUGCUAUAUUCUUUCUCUCUAGCACAUAGGAAUUCUAGAUCUACUUUUAGAUUGAAGUUUGGUUGAUUUUGAGCUAGAACCUCCAUGAACAUGGUGUUUUUCAAGCUUUUGAGCUAAAAUCCAAAAUUGACCUUUCUAUUUACACGAGUUUUGUGGCUGAUUUUUAGAGGGUUGGGUUUGUUUUGGCCUAAGGAACCUAGAUCUGCAAAAAAAAAAAUUCAAAUUUGGAGUUCAUUUGCUAGGAGGUCAAACUUGGUCAACACUUGAAUAUUCAUAUUGUUCAUCCAUGAUCUUCAUAUCUUAGUGAAGAAGAAUAUUCAAAGGUAUGUUUUGAUCCUAAAGAGGGAAGAAAGAGAGUGAAAAAGUUGUUUGUCUAAACGCAUAUUCAAAGAAUAUUCUAUUCUUCCAAGAUGAGGAGGGGACAAGGGGACAAACAAAGUACAAGUGCAAUCACCGGGGGGGGGGGGCCAUUUUAUUCCAUUUUCAUUUGAGACUUAAAGGAACCCUAAAUUGCAUCCUUUCAGCCCCCCAAAUCCGAAACUCUCACUUCCAAGGGAUAGUGUUUGGGCCAAAACUAGGUUUUGAAAAAUAUUAAAAAUUCGAAAAGUGACAACCAACCACGUCAUCACUUGUGCUCAACCAAAAUUGACUCUAAAAUUAGGUUUCGUAGUUUCUAAUCUUUGAUUCUAGUUUCUUUUAAGCUAAUUCUAUCACUAAUUAGCAAACUAGUAAGUACCAACUAGGUUGGUAAUUAGUCUAGAGUUCGUUUAUUUUGUGUCUUCAGUUUUUUUUGUGUUCUUUUCUCGUUUAUAAGUCGUAGUAUUUUGUUGGUUCAAGUACGUGCAUCACUUUAUUUGAGUCGUUUUAAUCAAAUAUCAAUUCCAAUCCAAAGCUUCUCACCUCUCAAGUAACUUGCCAAGUAUUACCGAUUCUCCAACACUUGUGAAGCCAAGCAUGAGGUGAGGUUGAGUGUGAGUGAAGUGAGGCUUUUGAACUAACUUGUUUGAUCGUUUUGUAGCUUGUGUUGCUUGCUGUUUUUUGCUUUUUUUAGGUACAAUUGACCAUGGAAGCUGAGGAUUCUUUAUUCCAAUCCUUGGGAAAUGAUAUAAUGGGAGCCUUGAAGGCUCACUUUGAGGCCUUUGCUCGAAAAAUGAAGGAUAAUAAUGAUGCUUAUUUGACUUUAUAAAAGGUGAUUUAGGAUUCAUGAGGCGUGACAUAAUUAGAAUUAAAGCAGGGGUUGAUAGACUAUGUCCACCAAAACUUCCACAAAAUUCAAACUACCAAAUCUAAACCCAUCAUCAACCAAAUCUAAUGCCUCUUCUCCAUAAGUUAGAAUCCAAGAAGAAUGAGGUCAAGCCUCCAGAUGGAGAGAAAAUGGAUGGUGGGGUACAAGAAGAGUGUGAAAAAAAGAGGGUAAGGGAAAGGGAAGCCACGGGUAGUGAAAUUGGAAGGGAAAAAGAACACUUGAUCGUGGAUCUUGUCCACAAAGGACCCUUGAUAUUCACUAACCCAAAUACUAUCAUUUUCCCUAGUAUUUUCUCUUCUCAUGUGCAGGUUCAAGACCCUAGAAUCCCCAAGGAGAAGCCCAAGGAAUUCCCUUCAAGCCUUUGGCUGAAAGUCCCAAUUUUAGGACAAGUGAUGAAGGAGUGAGUCCAAAGGGAAAACUUGAACUAUUCCCUUG
rnacentral:lncRNA from 1 species